AGAAAAUGUAGACAAAUUUUUCGUAACACCGUGGGGUGUUCAUUUAAUUUUAUUCCUUUGUUUUCCAUUUCUUUGAUAGUUGGAAGUGGUCCAAAAGUAUGAAAGGCUGGAGGGCUUUGUACCGACCAUUCUAGUGUGGUUGGAUUAUGUUCAAUAGCCCAAGGACUUUCCGCACAUCUUUUGUUCUUUCCACUGCUUGAAGUGAUUGCGACAACUACGAAGAAACAACGAAUCCCAACUACAGAUAUAUAAGAACCGAAACUGCUCAGAGCAUUCCAUCCGGCGUAAGCAUCUGGAUAAUCUGGAAUGCGACGUGGCAUACCUGAAAGCCCUAAGAAAUGCAUGGGAAAGAAGGUCAGAUUAACCCCGAAAAAAGUGAUCCAAAAAUGGAUUUGGCCUAAAGUUUCAGGAUAUGUCUGACCAAAGAUUUUAUCCACCCAAUAGUAAAAUCCAGCCAGUAAAGCAAAAACGGCUCCGAAAGAAAGUACAUAAUGGAAAUGUGCAACCACAUAAUAAGUAUCAUGUAGAGCAAUGUCUAGCCGAGAGUUUGCUAGAACUAUUCCAGUAAGCUCUCCUAUGGUGAACAAAAAGAUGAACCCUACAGCAAAUAACAUGGGUGUUUUGUAUUGUAUCGAACCUCCCCACAUGGUAGCGAUCCAACUAAAGAUUUUGAUUCCAGUGAGCACAGCUAUGAUCAUGGUAGCUGCGGUGAAGUAGGCACGCAUAUCAACGUCUAAGCCCAUAGUAAACAUAUGAUGAGCCCAAACUAGAAAUCCAAGAACACCUAUACUUAUCAUGGCAUAUACCAUGCCUAGAUACCCGAAGACCGGUUUUCUUGAAAAGGUCGAUACGAUAUGACUAAUAAUACCAAAUCCAAACACAAUGAGAAUAUACACCUCUGGAUGACCGAAGAACCAAAAGAGAUACUGGUAUAAUAUUGGGUCUCCCCCUCCUGUUGGAUAAAAAAAGGUUGUAUUAAAGUUUCGAUCAGUUAAUAACAUUGUAAUGGCCCCUGCUAGUACCAGAAGUGAUAAUAAAAGUAGGAAUGCUGUCACUAGAAUGGACCACACAAAAAGUGGUAAUCUAUGCAUAGUCAUUCUAGGUCCACGCAUGUUGAAGAUAGUAGUUAUAAAAUUGAUAGAACCUAAAAUUGAUGAAACACCUGAUAGAUGAAGACUAAAAAUUGCUAAAUGAACUGCUCCUCCAGAAUGGCUGGUAAUACCACUUAAGGGCGGAUAUACCAUCCACCUAGUGCCACUGCCCACUUCUACUAAGGCUGAGCUUAAUAGGAGCAAGAGACUUGGUGGCAACAACCAGAAUGAUAGUCUUCUAAGGUGAAUAGUACAGGAAUCUAUCAGAAGAUUGACGUGCAUAUAUAUGUCUAUACAUGAUACCAGUAAAAAAAACUGAUUUCCUCGUGCGCAGGCAGUUUUGGCUUUUCUAGAUAGAUGUGUGUGUCUAUAUAUAAAUCCCACGGACCGCGCUCGACGUGAAACUUUGUUUUUUAGCUUUUUCUAGAUAGAUGUGUGUGUGUCUAUAUAUAUAUAACUUGUUUUGCGCCAAAAAAUAAAGUCUCACGUCGAGUGCAGUCCGUUGGAUUCCAACCUAUGACCUCAAGCCUGGCGCGAACCUUCCUUGCCAUCCCACCUACAUAGUACAUGUGAUGGAUGUAGAUAUGCUUUCCUUUUGAAGUAACCCGUGGAGGGCCUUUAGUACCGGGUCAUAACACCACCCAGUACUAAAAGUGCCCCUUUAGUAUCGGGUGGUGUUACGAUCCGGUACUAAAAGGUCUCCAGGGGUCCCAAAUUUGGACCGGUACUAAUGCUAACAUUAGUAUCAGGUCAAAAUGUGACCGGUACUAAGCGAGUGAACGAAAGAUCGUUUUCCUAAUAGUGUAUGCAUUUGAUAUGUAGUUAUGAGUAGACUUAUCAUACUGUCUACAACGGGUAUUGUCUUUUAAAUUAUUUCAUACAAUACCCUAUAAUCCCUUAAUUUAUGCAUAAAAUAAAUAAAAUGUUAUAGUUGCAUGGCAAUAAUAACUCAUACAAUGGUACACUACUGGGUACAAGGUCUUUCGUCCAGCACCUUUGUACCAAUUGGAAUUGGGCCCGGUAUUAAUGUGAGCAUUAGUACCGGGUCUAACAGAUAGUCCCCGAGGAGCCUCUCAUGACCCCCUUUAGUACCGGGGUGGAGGCUCCACCCGGUACUAAUGUGCCUGAGGGCCUUUAGUACCGGAUGGAACCUACACUCGGUACUAAAGGGUUUCCUCCACCUCCCUCCGUCUGCGCGUAAGCGUUAUCCAUCCGCUAGCUUCCCGACACGCGCGAGCCUUUUAUCCAUCUGCCUCCCUCUACAUCUGCACCCUCCCUCCGCCUCCCUCUCCAUCCGCAACGGCCCCAUCCCUCCCUCCCUCCCUCCCUCCAAGAGGCCGGUGCCGACCCGGCCCCUCCCUCCCCCUCCACUGGCCCCUGCCCUCCCUCCCUGGCCUCCCCUUUCCUCCCCCCUCCGCUCACCCCUCACCUUAUGCCUGAGGCAAGGAGCGGCGGCAGUAGCCAUCGGGGCACGAAGCGCCCGGUGGGAUGCGAGGCCAGCGGCGGCGGGAUGCAGCGACGAGACCCGGCGGAUGGAGUGGCGGCGGCGGGAUCCAGCAAAUGGAGCGGCGGUGGUGGAAUGCGGGCCGGGGACGGCAGGAUGCGGGGCCGGGAGCGGUGGGAUACGGGCUCACCGGCAGCCGGUAGGAUGUGGGGUUGGGGGGCUCACCGGCAGCCGGCGGGAUGUGGGGCUGGGGGCAGCGGGCGACGCUGGUGGCGGGAGGCAAGCGGCGCCGGGGGGCUCGGGCGGGGAGGGGGAUGCUUGUUGGGCUCGGACCGGCGGGGUGCAGCUCAGGUGGGGUGGGAUUUCUUUUUUUAUUUUUUAAUACCCCUUUAGUGCCGGUUAUUUCAACCGGUACUAAAGGCCCUCCUUAGUACCGAACUAAUGCCCUGUUUGGUUGGGCUGUGGCUUUUGAAAAAGCUGCUCUGAGCUAUGGGCUGUGAAAAAGCAGCUGUGGGAAAAGAAAAAGACCGAUUGGUUAGACCAGCUGUGAAACUGUAGGCUGUGAAGGAAAUACCUGUAAUGCUCCUAAAAGCCUGAGAAUCUGUUUAUAUGCAAAUUGCUCGUAACAAAAUAAUGUGUUCACUAAUUCACAUGUAAAUGACUAUUUUAAAAAGGAAAAAAAAUAAAUUUUCUAUAUUUUCAUCCAUCAAAGUUUUUAAACUGGAUAGUUCUUGUCGACUGAGCCAAUGUUAACUACCUCUUAUUUCAGAUAAAUAUAAGACAUGCAUAUUGAUGUACUGCAAGAGACGGUUCUUGUCCUUCGUUAAACAUAAACACAAGGAUUACACUACAAAUAAUGGAUUACACUCUGAAAUUCCAAUCAAAGAGAUGCAACUGCAACAUCAUCUAUCCUUACAUCAUCCGUCGAAUCCAAAGAAUUAACACAACUUUUUGUCACAAAUUACAACGCUCGAUCAUCUGGUAAUGCAGUUGAGCAUCAGGAACUCCUUGAUGGUCUAGCAGUAGCAGACGAGCUCGUCUGACAGCAAAGGGAGCACUCCACCUCCUCGGUGAUGAUCCUCGGAGAGCACUGCACAGCUAGCUCACGAGAGUUGCAUCCACAAGAUCCGGCACUGACGUACAGCUAGAAGCCCAGCCAUAUGAGCCUCAACACACACCUCUUGAGUCCCCUCACAGCACUACAUAUCGUCGGCCACGGCACCAUGGCCGAGCAGUUCGCCGGCAGCGGCCCAUCCUGCACAAGCUGCUAGGGUGAGGUGAUAAUCACAACAGAGGAAGAAAUCGAAGGAGCAAAUGGAGUAAUAGCAACUAGAGACCUUGGAGAAUCACAUUGGAGUAGUAAUGAUCGGAGAACCCCAGCCAUCACCAUGGAUUUAGUGCAGCUUGCUUGAGCGUUGUAGGUAGCAGGGAGGGGAAAAAGAAACAGAGCAGCAGCGAGUUGAGCGUGUGCGCCUGUUGGCCUGCUCGUUGGGCUACAAGCAAAGAAGUACGGGUACUAGUGCUUAGUGGAGAGAAGCAGCUAGCACUCCACCUCCUCGGAGAAGCGUGCGAGGCCGCUGGGCCGGAGGUCGGAGGGCGCACAAGGGCUGGCGGUGGCCUGGCACUGGGCGGCGGGCUGGGACAGGGCGGGCACCGGCCAGAGAAGCCGAGUCUUGGCGGCAACCGGCCUCGGGCGAUGCCGCUAGGAGAUGGAGCGGGCGGCCGGCCGGCCGAAGGGCAGGACCGCUGCCGGUGGCGGCGCACGUUAGCCGUCGGGGAGACUGUGCGGUCGGGGGCGGAACCGAACACGGAAAAAAAAAAAGAAGAACGAACCGUUUUUUCAUUAACCAGUGGAAGGUGGAUAAAUAACUCAAAGUUGCUCACCUCAAAAGCUAACAAAAGCAGGGGAGAGGUUCUUUUAGGUUUGUACUACAAUGAAAACUGCUUUUGAGCAAAAGCAUCAAUGGUUUUGGGACCCUUUGGUUAGCUUUUGGCUUUUGCAAAAACAAAAGCAGGUUGGAAAGCCCAACCAAAGACACCCUAUUGUAAAACCGGUACUAAAGGGGGUUUCCAACCGGUACAGAAGGGCCUUUCCCAGUAGUGGUAUUCACAUUAUUCUAAUCUCCUAUAUGUAUAUGCCGUUUUUUCUUCACUACAUCCUGCUGAUUUGGAUCGUGUCCUUAUGGACCUGACAUAAGAAGAUGCUGGUAUUCGAUGGAAGCUUAUUAGCCUGCCAUAAUUUAGCCAUCCUUGUGAGUGUUCUGUAUAAAUGAUGCCCAUACUCCAUUCACGCUCUUGCUCAGCAUAUAUAAUUCAGCACGUGUGGCAGGGGAUCGGAGCUAUCUAGAGCUAGCACCGAAUGAAGAGAUCGACAUAGACUAGUAGCCAGGGGGUAGCUUCUACGUAUCUAGUAUAUACACGCACUAGUAGAGAACUAACCUUUAAUCCCGGUUGGUAGGGUGCAUAUCUCCCGAAAAUUCAUCCGGGAUAAACCAACCGGGACAAGGGGGGAGUCUUUAGUCCCGGGUCCUUCAAUCGGGAGUAAAGGUCACCCUUUAGUCCCACCGGGACUAAAGGGCCUGCCACGCCAGGCACGGGACAGGCCCUUUACUCCCGGUUGGUAAAAGCAACCAGGAGUAAAGGGUGCCCCUUUAGUCCCGGUUGGAUUUUCCAACUGGGAGUAAAGGGUUACCCUUUAGUUCCGGUUGGAUUUCCCAACCGGGACUAAAUGGUGCCCUGCAUGGCGUCUGAAAUUUUCAUGCAUCACGUACGUAGUACCGCGGCCCUUUUGUUAACCUUUAGUAGUUGAGAUUUUUUUAUAAUAAAAUCAACUAGUAUUUAAACGAAUGAAAUUUGUAAUUAUACAAUUACUAUAUAUAUAUACACAAUUCAACUAGUACAAAUCAAUCUUAGCGUGUAUUAUAGAUACAAAUCAAACUAUAUAUCUACAAUCUUGAUCCCGUCGAGGUGUUGCUCGGAGUGUCUAAUUGUCGUCCAUUGUAAUAAAAUUCUCCUUUUGGAUUUACCACCUCGUCCAUUAGGAAUCCAACGAGACCUUCACAUAUUGCCGCUACUCUUUCUUUCUUCAAGAGUCCUUGUUGAAUAUUUAACAUCUAUAAUUUGGAAAUUUGUGAAUGUUACAGGAAUCCUUUGAAUAGUCCUUCUUGUUAUUGCAUUGGAAGCAUGGACAACAUACGAACCCAUUCUCUGGCUUGUUCGCUUUGGCCACUUCGAGAAAAUAAUGCAAGCCAUCAAUAAACACCUUGCUCCACCUGUCUGCAUUAUACAUCCAUUACCGGUCCAUCUGCAUCAUAUUACGCAUGAAAAUGGAUUACACUUGACAAUGGAUUACGCGUGAAAAUUGAUUACACUUGAAAAUAGAUUAUGCGUGAAAAUUGAUUACACUUGAAAAUGGAUUACGCGUGACAAUUGAUUACACUUGAAAAUGGAUUCACAAUUGAAAGCAUGUCAAACGUUGUAGUGCAAAUAAUGCUGAAAGUUUAGAUAUAUAUACAAAUACACAUAUUUAAAUUAAAGAUCCAAACAACAUGAUACAAUACAACAAGCCAUCCACUGGUUAUUAUCUAGGAGGACUUUAAGCAUCAUUGGGCGGUGAAGAUGAAGGUUCCGCUGACCCAGCCUCAUCCUGUGAUUUAUUUGUGCUGCCUGAAAUGGUAGUACUAAGUGGACGUGAAACACCCGGAACUGAGGGUGGAGCAUAAAGUGGACGUGAAACACCCGGAACUGAGGGUGGAGCAUAACGACCACCAAAAGGAGGUUCCUGACCCGCGGCAACAGCUUCUUCAUGACGUUUCUACAAAUAAUGAAGCAUUGCUUUUUCCAACGCGCUCAUUUUCUUCGGCUUAUGCUGAGGGCCAACUAUGAUUUUCCCCUUGCCGAAAGAGGAACGACGAUCGCCCCCACCAUCGCCACUUCCUCCAGUAGCAGAAGCCAUCUAUGUACAAAAAUUCUUACCUUAGCACUGCAUAAGUUGUUGAACUUGAAGACCGUGAUCAUCUCGUGAGCAUGUCCUCAACUGGGCGGCACCGCACUUCGUCAUGAAAGAGGUUCGAUUCUACGAAAAAGGGGACACGGUCACGAUGUCCGUAUCCACUCUUUCUCGCAGAAUCAAACCUCCUUCUUGACAUACGUUGCUGCUCGGCGGAGAACAUCCUCGCAGAGAUGAACACGGUAUGCAAGUUCAACAAGUAUGGAUUUGAAAAACCAUAUUGAAUUUGAUAAGAUAAACCGUCUAGACAAGGUAGCAUCAUUCUUAACCUACUGCAAGAAUACAUACUAUAUAUAACACAUCAAUCUCCCUCACAUUCUAGCUCAAAAUACCUCUCCAUUUUCUACUUUAUCACAUUCUAGCAAAUAAACUUUCCAUCUCCAAAGCAUAAAUCAAAGCAUAACAAGAGGAUGAAGUAGCAAACCUUCACAACACUUGUGUUGGCUGAGUGAAAUUCCCACGAAAAUAAGGGAAAAAAAUUCGGGCAUCACCUCCCUUGCUUCAGUGAAGCUCAGCUCUCUGUCUAUGUGGUGGACUAGCUCGGGCUGGAGGAGGAAGAAAGGCCUCUGUCUUGGUAUAUAAUGGGGAUGACUUUUUAUCCCGGUUAAAAACUCCAACCGAGACAAAAAGGAACACCUUUUGUCCCGGUUGAAAGUUUAGUCCCGGUUGGAGGCUCCAACCGGGACAAAAGGAUGGACCUUUUGUCCCGGUUGGAAUUACCAACCGGGAGUAAACUAUUUGUCCAGGUUGGUAACACCAACCGGGACAAAAGGUCCACCCUUUUAUCCCGGUUGGAGGCUCCAACCGGGACAAAAGGGUCAUGCCACCAACACCUCGGAACUAGCCGUUACAACCGAAACUAAAGGGCAGCCUUUAAUCCCGGUUGCAGAUACCAACCGGUAGUAAAUCUCCCCUCCAUUUUUGCCUACCGUGGCGCAUCCCCUUUUGUCCCAGACCAACUUUAAACCGGGACAAAAGGGGGCACAUCGAAAGUCAGUUCUCUACUAGUGACGACAACACACGGCGAUUGGAGAGACCAAAACAAAGGUGAUGGACACUUUGAUUUGUCGACAAGUGGCACUACGGUAUGCGAAGAGAUUCGAUUGGAGUAGGUCGUAGCUAGCUUUUGUGUGUGUGCAGUGCAGUGGGAUCCCUGCAGGCUAGGAUCGGAUCUUGUCGUACACAACAUCGAUCAGCAUGUAAAGCCUGAAGACAGAGCAGAGCGAUCGGGAUCGUUGGCUGCUAGUAGCUCCUGCACGAUCUCUUUCACGUGGAAAAACGUGGCUUUUAGCUUUGCUAGAUCUUCCUCACAUGGAUCGUGCAUGCAUCAUGCACACUGUUAUGAAAGAUGGUUGGUUAUUACCUACGUAUAUAGUCAGGCGCACACAUGUAUAUAAAAGUUACUUCCUUUGUUCCAGAUUGUAGGUCGUUUUGAUAUUUUUAAAUGUAUAUAUUUAUUUUCUAUCUAAAUAUACACUAUGUCCAGAUACGUAAUAAAAAUGUUAAAUUUAAAAAAAUCAAAACUACCUGCAAUUUGAAAUGGAACGAGUAACAAGCAGCACGUAGACAUGUAGCACUGUGCAUGAUGUCGAGUGCGUAUGCAUGCAUGCAUGCUCCACAUGUAUAUGAGAAUCGUCGCUACUUAUUUCUGGACGAUUUACACUAUACUUUUGCUAGCUUAAUUCAUCUUACUUGAUGUUUUUCAUUCUAACACUGCACUUACGCAUGCAGUAGCUAAAUUUCGCAUGGGAACUGCAUAUAUGCUGUUCUCAUGCAUGCGUGCAUGCAACUAGGCAAGGUCAGCCACUGCGAGCAACGACAACGGUGGUGGCUCUGGGGGGUCUGGAAUCUGACUGGAAGGCAUGCAUGUGCUGCCGCGCGCCGGAUCUGCCGCACGGAUCGCGUUCAAAUUUCGCUUCCCUUGUUCUCGCGGAGGUCAUCAGCUACAGCUAGGACUAGGAUGGCCGCGCGCGCGUGCACGCAUUCCCGACCAUGCAUGCAGAGAAGGAAGAAUCUCUUGCUGAGGAUUCUGAUGACGACGUUGUCCAUCAGUCAUGGCCUCGCGUCGCGUCAAAUCUCGCGGGUGCCACCGUGUGCACAAGAAUCUGCAGAUACGCUGCGCGUCUGCUGGCACGGGCAGUCUCUACAACGAAAAACAAAAACCGAAAUCAGCUGCACGCAUCGUCGUCGAAAGAUUCUAUUCUAACUAGCUAUAUCAGCAAGUCAAUGGAUGCAUAUAGUAUGAUUGGUGGUGACGAUCGAUCGAGAUCCUCGGCGGAUCUUGGCAGUGUUCGUCUUCGAUCGUCACUAUAGCUAGCUAGCUACUUGAUCUUUCUUCUAACUGGCCUGUAUGUCAAGGUUAUCUGCAUGAAAAGUACGUAGUAUCUUUAGUCCAGUCAAGGUAAGGUUAUCUUGUUUAUUUAUCUACAUAAUAGGAUCCGCGUCAGAUCUGCAGAUAGAUGAUGCAUGGUCUAUUGAUCGAUCUCGACACAAUCUAUCCAUUCCAGACCACAUGUCUGUCCAUCACAUCUGUGUCGAGCAUGCAUCCUGACCGGAUCCUGUCGCCUUGACAUUCUCGGCAGCAGCUGCUGCUGGUGCAAUGGUCUUCAAUUCGAUUCUUUCUAUAGCUCUAUACUAUAUUUGUAAACGAGAAGGAACGAACGUGUCAAGUGCUAGCGAUCGAAAUAGUCAUAGGUCGAUCGAUCAGUCGUCUCAAAUGUCGACGCGUGACUUGUGAGUACUCGCAAAAAACAUAUAGAUAGGAAUGUGGCGCGUGCAAACUCUUUGCCAAGAUCUCCUGACGGGAGAAAUUAAUGAGAAUUGAAGUUAAGAAACCUGCUAGCUGCUGCAGAUCUAUCGAUCGGCGACGGACGACGACGUGUCAGGAAUAUGUUUCCAUUCCGCAUGAAUGAACAUAUGAUUCUUUCGUGGGCAUAUCUUGCUACGGAUAUGCAGCUUGACCAGCGCGCACGAAUGUCCGAUCCCAAACGACUGUACGUGUGCGACAGGGAUCGGAAGAACUGGACUCGACUGUUUAAUUUCUCCGAGGAGAAAACGGCACCUGACCUGCGUGUGUGUGGAAUUGCUGGGUGCUAGCUGAUCGAGACGUUACGUUAGCUAGAUAUCCAGACCACUUGACCCACGGCGAUCUGAUCGAUGACGAAACGGCCGCAGAUGGCUUCGUUUCCUUGGAGUGCACUGUGCACAGGUAGACGAUCGAGGCUCUUAUCCUUCCGAUCCGUUCGAUCAAGUGAUCUGGUCUCCAAGAAUUAAUGCAUAAAGAGUGACAGAAAAGACUCGCAACUCUGAAUGAACUCCCUCUUGACACGACACCAGCAGAGAGCCGCCGGUUUUCUAGAAGGCCAGGCCAGAGCCAGACCACCCGGAACAGAGACUGAUCAGCUAGCAUGAAUGAAGUCGAUCAGGAUGAUGCAUGCAUGGUUCACUUUCGCUGUCCGGCCGAUACGCUUCGUCCAAGAUUCGCCCGUAUCCGAUCCAUCUGAUUAUUCUGGCUUGUCGCGCGAUCGAGCUAGCGAUCUCUGCCUGCUUGCUAGGUCACGUCCAACUUCUAGCCAUCUCCAACGACGAGAGCGAUCGAUCGAUCGAUUGACCACAGGUCAGUGAGUGAAGGGAGCGAUCGAAUCAGAUCGGAUCGGAUCGGAUCUGUCAGGAGAGCUGAGAGCAUCGUCGUCGAGCCAGGAUCGAUGAACUCAAUCUCGCUGAAGCAUCGAUCUCUGCUUUAAUGUGCCAGUAGCUUAACCAUCAACUAGCCGCCGGUUCGAUCAAGUCCAGGUUAGUGACGCAGCUGCAGCAGUUGACCGAUUCAAAGACGCAUGGCCCAUAUAGAUGGCUAUGCAUGCACGCCACAGCCGACAGGUUCCAUCGUCCUUGUGUAUCGAUCGAUCUCCGAAGAUUGAGGAGAUCUUGCCCAAGAUGCUGAGAGAUCAAUCGAUCGAUCGAUCGGAAUCCGGAUCGCAAACGAUGGCUACUUACCACUUCUGGACAAUAAUCCAUCAGUAGUCGAUCGGUGUGGAACAGUGCAAUGUGCCUCAUUGAUGGUGUUCGUUCUUAACCACUACCUCACCGAUCAGAAAUAUAAUAUUACGAGUUAGUGGUAUAUAGUAUAUAUUAUUAUAGCUAAUUUAGUAAUUAUUACAUUCUAAAAAGUAAAAAAUUUUCUUUUAAACUUUAUACAGUUGACAUCGGUUUAUGACACGUGUUAGGGUCAGCGUCAGGAAGAGAAAAGAUUGGCCGACGCAGUCAAAUAGGAGGCUGUGGCUAGGGAAAUCGGCUGAUAAAGCUACAGUGUUUCGGCCGAUUAGCCAAUGAAGUCGAUGGAGACUGGCCGAUUGAAAGCCAGAGCAGCUCGGCCGAUAUGGGUCUAAAUGGGCCAAGGCGGUAACAAAGUAAAGACAGAGUUGGCCCAUAGAGGAUUGAUUGGUGUUCGACUCCGAUGCGAGUUGUAUCCGUAUGUAAAUAUUUGUUAUUUUGAAUAAGAGAUAAAAUCGUAGUCGAUUAGGAAAUCAGUUGUAACAGGGUAUAAAUAGGUGCCUUGUGAGGCUUGUAGAACAACCAACAAUCAUCAAUACAAAUCUACUUUUUUUCACGCGAUUUUACUUUCAAGUAGGCGACUUCGCCAAACUCUCUUUCUUUUCACGAGUUCGUACGAGUUGGCAGGGCUACAUCAACACGACCUCCGGCCAAUUUGUAAGUUCCACGUAUCGAGUAAUAUCUGAGCUUUAACUUCAGGCGCAUCGUUGUUGUUUCGUUUAGAUUUAUUCACUAGUUAUCGAUAUUUACUAGAAUUAUAGGUUUUAUCUGUUAUUUUAGUUUUUAUCACCAGUUAUCCAGCUUGCGGCAUGAACUGUCGGCUAUAUCAAUAUUUUGUUCAUUAUCAGGCAGCCGAUUAGAUCUGUUCCAAGUGUUGUCUCUGUAGCAUUGUUUAGGUUACUCCAGUGGUUUCUGUUACAAUUGCUACAUGAUCAUCAGCUGUUCAUAGCCGGUCAUCUUUACAUUAAAUCAGCCAAUCCACUAAUACAUCUUUUAGAAUAGAUCGGAAAUUCAGUCGAUCGAAUCUCUGGAAUUUGAUAUCUUUUCUCCCUUGUCAAUCAACAGGUCAGAUUGACUGGCACUCCGCGCGAACCGCAUCAGGGCGAUAACCCGAACAGGAGCUAAGCAGAUUCUCCCAGGUCGUGUGUCCGAUGCUGGAGUCAGGACCACUGUCCGAUCUUUUGCGCCAACAUAUACUAGUGUCAAAAAUAAAAUUAUAGUGAUAUCAUUUGUAUUCUUUUACCAUGAUACUCUUAUACUAACUAUACUACUCAUGUCUACUAUCCAUACCAUAGAUGAAGGUUUUAGUAGUAUACAAUUAAUCUUGACUAUCGGAUAUUUGUAUACUAGUCAUUUUCGAACACUAGUAUAGCCUAGUAAUGUGUAUCGUAAAAGAGAGCUCAUCAGAAAUAUACGCCCACAAUCAAAUUCUUUAUUCUUACUCAUAAGUAUUAAAACAAAUUAUAAAGUAACGGUUAAGAUUUGCAUUAAUUAAUUACUAGAUUCAUAAUGAAAAAUAUUUCCAAGCAAAUAACUAUAUUUUUUUGUUUAAUGAUAAUACCUUAUAUACAUUGUUAGCCAAAGUGUCGCUUUAUAGACCAUGGUAAUGUCCUAGUGGUCUAGCUAGGUACGAGUGUGCGAUUUCUGAGGCAAGUACAGGCCAUCAGAUCCGACCAGGAUGUUUUCAGCUAGCUGUCGAUUUGCAGAUCAUGUGCGAAAGCAACCCGUGCCAACUGCCAAGCCAGCUCGUGGGGGGAUCCAAGUCAAGGAAAAGCUAUCCCUGCACUUAAGCCGUUGACGUUGACGACGCACAAACUGCUACGUGUUGAAAGUGAGGAUAGUGUUUAAAAUGUAAUUUCCUGUUCUUUUCGUAAAUUAUUAACAUUAAUUAAUCCGCCGUUGAAGAAGAAAGGUCAACGCAUGGUCCUUCGGCGAAGGCCGCCGCCGGGUAGUAAAUAAUUGGGCUGCUAAUUUGAUGGACGAACUGGGCCUAACCGCAAAUCCGGCCCAAUAACAUGUGCCAUCAUCAGGUUUUGGUUUUCCUUACCACCGUGCAUUCUAGUGCCUCAUUAAGAGGUCCAAGUGCCAAAUAAAAGUUUAAACAUGCAAAAUAAGAUUUCCGCCGUAAUUAAGUGCCGAAAGGCUCCAUUUAAUUCACAUUACAAAAGGUGAGAGUACUGCUUUACUCGGUUAAUUCCCAGACGAUCAUUAUCCUUAGAAAAAACUCCCAGACGAGACCGAGAACAGAGGACAUGGACAUGUUCUAGAUUCUAGUCCUGAAUGAACCCAGUCGAUACACAUACCAUAUAUACAUACACCACUGGCAACUUCUACGAGCUAUACAUACCUUAUAUGCAGUCCUCUGCUCGGUGCAUCGCCUAACAAUAGCAUCACUACAUGCUACUCCAACAUCAGCUUCGCAUACAAAAGGGCACUCGAGCAACACAGCAAUGCGCUAGGCUCUACGGCGCGCGGUUCUUCUUGAAAGCGCCCUCAAGAACCGAGAAGGAGCAGAGCACGGUGUCGCCGCCGUGCUUCAGCGUGUACAGCUGGCACAGCGCGCGGCCGGCCACCUUCCACGCGAAGCCGCACUUGCUGACCUCGUUGCGGGGCACGGCGUGCUCGUACACCACCUGGUACACCGCGCAGGCCUCGUUGAAGAGAUCGAAGCGCUCCCUUGGGCUGUAUUCAAACUCCUCGGCCUUGUACAGCAUCUGCAGAAUCCCGCAACGCAAAAUAAGCCCUGCCUGCCUGCGCUUCGGACAGCCAUUUGAACUCUCAAUGCGUUCCAUUCGGCAAAAGGAUACUUACCCACUUGUACUCUUGGUAGAGUUCGCGGAAAUUGGUGUUCCUUUCCGCCUUAUUCUCCAGCUUAUGAAGUUUAGAGCUUUCCCUCAAGUACUCCUGAUAAAGAGCUGCCCAACGACGCUUGUAAUCUUCAGAUACUGCCAUUUCAGUGAAGCAUUGCAGGGCACUAUCUCUGAUAAUAAAAGGAAUGGCAUGGUAAAAAGAAGAAAAUCAGUUACCUUCUCUGUUGUCAACGGAAAGAGGGACAUGAGACUUAUCAGCUACUUACUGAUUGAAGGACCAGCUUCAGACUCUUGUGACGUUACUUCAUCAUAGAUUUUGCCCAGCACGGAUGCUGAAUGGUAGUCAGGAUAUCUUCCCCGUUCCAUGAAGUGUGGGUAUUGCUUGACCAUUAGCUCUUCAGGAACAGUGAUCUAUUUGGAAGCCAGAUGGGCAGAAGAAGAUAAAAAUCUUAAGGUUAAAGUGUAACAUAUAAUCAUUUUUAACAAAACUUUCUUACAAAAUAUUUGAACAUAAAUCAGACAAAUUGUUCGUCUAUUUCUUCUGAGUUCCUGUAUUAUUUCAUCUGGACUGUUUCAGUCUUACUCAUACAUCUCUCAUUCUCCAGUCAAAUAAUUCUCAGAUCAAAACAAAACAUAUGAGGAUGGUUAAACACCAAAACAUGUGAGCCCAGGAUUGGAAAUGACCUUUUCUCCUGACUUUGGAGCAUCCAAAGCCAAGUAAUAAAUGUCAACCAAGUCAAGCAUCUUCCUCUUUAUCAUUUUCCGUUCGCUUUUAGGAAUGUCGCCUGUCAAGAGCUGAUCCAUAAAUGCCAACCAACAAUCUGCAGCUGCACCCAGCACAUAACUGAAGGGCAGAAAACAAAAAUGAUAAUUAGACUGCAUGACUUUUACGGUGAUGCUAACUAAGUACUACCACUUCAUUUUCUCACUGGCAUGUGGACCAAGGAGACAAGGACCACAUGUCAGCAAGAUAUCAAGUAAAACAUCCCCAAAUUUCCUCAAUUUUUGGGUAAAGGGAAUUGCCACAAAAAAAAGUAAGACAACCACACUGUCCUUACUAUAAGAUGAACCCAACAGAAGCUUAAAGCACUUCAUAACAAUUCAUGCUAUCGUGAUUUUCCUCAAGAUGAGAAUAAAAGUUGCACCUCAUAUGUUAUUCCUACCAAACUUGACAUCCUUGUUUUUAUCUAAUACAAUCCACAAGGUGGGGAGGAUGCUUUGAAAGGAUUUAUUCCAUUUGGAUAAAUUGGACCUUACAAUCAUGACUUCUUAGUUCUUGCAUAGAAUGCAGGUACAAUUUUUAGGGUCAAGACAUUCUCCAGCCUUCUUAGCAUCAAAUAAGCACAUCAAUGGAAUUACAGGGAUAUAGAGAAAUCCAUCCACCUCAGUUAGUACCUGGGUGUAAACCGAGCUCUCAAGUAUUCGCGGAAUAACAGGCGUUCCAAUUUGGAUCCAGGAUAAUCCUGAGGCUUCUUUUGUUCUGUCUUUCUCCGUGAUAUUCUUCGAAACCAUGGUUUAUGUUGUUUAAAGCACUCCAAUAACUGUAAAAGGUCAAAUUUGCAAUUGAAGUGACAAUUCUUCUCAGAAGAAACAAAAAAACAGAGCAUAAUAUGAUGGCAUAUGAAAAUAUGUUGGUGCUAAAUGAGCACUACAAAAACAGAAUCCAAAAGAAAAUAUUCCAGAGUUUAGUCCAACUGAAACCAUAAGAACUCCCCAGAAAAAAAGAACUCUUGACUCAAGGGAAAGACAUCCCUCUGACUUUGUCCUUAAAAAAGCUGGUACCAAGAUUUGAACCCAGCCCGGCAACAGGGGUUUCAUUGACCCUCGGAGUUCAACACUCUGAGGUCAGCCUAGCAGAGCAAAUCAUCAUGAACCCAUAUUAUGAACUAACUUCAGAUCAAUCUAAUAAAAACCAGGUUAUGUUACAACGCAUCUGCUAAGAAUCAAGAAUGUAACAAAAAUAUCUAAAUCAAAAAAGUGUUUUCUUAAUUUCUCUGUGUGUUGCAUGGGCCUAUUUGCAAAAUUCCCAAGUCUUAAAAUCUCCAAAACAGAAAAUACAUUCCAAAGUUCAGUAUCAUGGCUCAAUUUUGGGGCAAUAAAAGAUGAGUUUCUUAUGUGAUUGGGGAAGUAAAGGUUUUCUUUUUUACAUUGUUGUGUUCCUGAUAAAACAAAUUAUAAAACAUGCAAAUAGAUCCAAAUAAAGUACCAAAGGAUUGUUUCAUAAAGAUUGUUAUCUAUAAAUUUUGAAUGCCUAAACAAAAUUAAGGGGGCGUCAGAAAGACAUAAAUGGAAGACCAUUCAAUUCAAAUGGAUAUGAUGGAUAUUGCUGGCAUACAGUAUAACACAAACUUGGUCCUUUUUCAGAGUCCCCGUCGGAUCUGUUGUGCCCAUUAGAUAAUAACAUUCAUCAAUCGGGAUCCUUCCUUGUUUGAGUCCUUUUCUUUCCUCCUUAGUCAUUAGAGCUAGCUGGAAUUGCAAAUAUGCCUCAUCUUCUGGUUGAAUUCCAGAUAGAAUCAUUCGUGCCGACAUUGAAUCAUCCAGGUCAGCAUGGUUAAAUGCAACUGUAAAUAGGGACCAUGUUAAUAGAAAGCAAUAGCCAAGGCCCAGGCGUUACUAGUUAAAUGAUUCAAUGGCAGAAUAGUUGGAAUGUGACAAUUUAACCAGACACUCAAACAGUACAACUUAUAUCAUUGUAGCAUAAGUGAGUGGCUGUGAAUCUCAAAGUAACCUUCCAGUGAAUCUCUAGGCUUGUGACGAGCUUUAUUGACAUCUUCAAGUGCCCUCCUUAGAAGCUCCACAAAAUACUCUGCUGGAACCCGCCCAUAGUGAAGUAGUGAAAUUAAGAACCUUGAUAUCAAUGUCCUUUUAGUUCGGUUGCUGAAAAGAUGCAAUAAUACAAUACAAACUGCUGAGUUGUUAACCAAAAGGAAAGCACUCAAAUAGCUGUAGAAAAGUUUAGUUCAAAUUUGGACUCAGAUAUAAGUAUAUCAUAAUACCAAACAAAUAACAAUAAUGAAAAAAGAAUUCCGAGAAGAUGGGAGUAUGGGUUACGACUUACCUUGUAGUAAUUAUUUCCAAAGAGUUAAAUGGCUUCUUUCCAGAUGAAUUUUUAUCACCGUAUAUUUUUAUCAUUGAUGGUCUUAUACAGAUUGUCUCAGAGGGAAGCUGUAACAAAGGAGAAGCGCAUUCAUCACGGAUUUACUAUAGGGAUUAGGUAAGAGAAGAAGCUUGAGAAAAUCGGCAAUAACAUUGAAGUAUGCAAGGAAAUUGAAAAUACUCUUAACUGGGAUAUUUAAUUGAAUCUUCCAAAUAUGGUCAAUAACACUAUAAUGUUGCCAUGAUAUAAGAGACAGAAGCAUUGCAUUUUUCAAGUUCUCACAGGUAUAAACAACAGGCUCAAUGUAUGAGAAAGAUUUAUGAUGAAAGGUAAAGUCCAAAGAAACUAAUCUUAGAUGAGCAUGCUAAACAACAAGAAGCCUAGCAAAUUAGAGUUCAAGCCAUACAGAGUGACAAACACAUACCCUUUUAUCAACUAGAAGGGUUCCCUUCACAGCAUAUCCAUUAUGGAACAAACAGAACUGUAUUAAAAGAGGCUGGAGUACAAAAGAAGCACAAAUUGCUUAGUUAAGCCAAAAAGCAUGUGAGAAAUAGCAGAGCAGCAUAUAGUAUCAUAUGGUACAGGGAAUACGUGUUCAGCGGUGAGAUAUCGGUGCCCUUUGAAUCCACAGCAUCCUGUGAAAGGCAUAAAAGAUAAAUAUUAAGCAAAUAAUAUUCAAGGAAUUAUAAUGGUUAACUGAGAAGACUGGUGUUAGCUAGAAAUACCAGGUCACAUGCCUUAAGAAAGCUUCCCUUGAAGACACUGGUGGGGCAUUUCCUAGCUAAAUCUACUGAUAUUAAGCCAGUCCCAUCAGUAUGAAUCAAGUGCUCCCCAUCUUGAACAGCAAUUUGUCCAGAUUCGUACUGAAACAUUCAGUCAAAUAUAAAUGGCAUCUAGUAUCUGGCAAGUGGCGCAAACACGAGAGAUGAAGGAAUAUUUACCCUGCAAGGUACGUCGUCAAUUAUUUUAACAUGAACAUUUGAUAAGUCCACACCCAAUUUGAUAGUUUUGGAUAGUAUCAAAGCAAACCUGCACAUUCUCUCCAGAACAGUAAGUAGAAUUUACUAAAAAGGUGGUAGUUAUAGCCUUAGACUAGGACAAAAGGCAGAGAACAUGACAGUAACAAGGCCAUGAGAAGAUAGUUGCAUAGUAAUGGAUGUGUGCUUAGAGGAAGCAAGCAAAAUAAGACAAAGCUGUAUCGUGACAAGGGUGCCAGGUGUCAAGGUCCUACGAUGUACCUUACCCUCCUAACAGGAAAAAAAUAUAUUUGGUUUGGUGUGCAGUCAAGAAAUCCUGUGUUAAGACACAAUACUACACAUUAGAGAAACAGGGAGACAGAAAAGGCCAUCAAUGUGCACAAAUUGUAAAAGUACCACCAAGGUUAAUCAAAUUUUUGUGUUCCCAUAACACAUCACCUCUUUUUGUUUAUUGUGUAAGAAACCCAAGAUCCAAUGGAUAUAGCAAAAGUAGUGGAUUUAAUAUCGUGCACCAACUAUGUAAAAGAGAAAAAAAAAUCGAGUACCAAAAAAGGCACCAGCUAUAUAUUGGAAUAGGUGUCUAAAGGUAUUCAAUGAUUACUUAAUGUUGUGCAAUAAAAGUAAAUAAGAUGGUUAACCUGGACAAAUAUUUGGCCACAGUAGGAGCAUUGUGUAUGUGCAUAAAGAGUCUGCGGGCCUGAUCAAUUGUGUGGCCAGAGAGAUCGUAAUGGUAAUCCCUUUCCCACCCAGACUCUGUCCGAACAAAAUAACACCUAACAGAAGUGCUGCAUUUUUUGUUUUUCUCUUUCUUCUUUUCCUCCUUUAGCUUCUCCUCCUUCCCUCCAUCUUUGUGAACUGGCAAAAUGGCAUACUAGCCCAGUCAAGACAAACCAUACAUUCAACAUGCAGGUACAUAACAUGAAAGACACCACUUGUAAGAAAGGAAAAUGCUUAGCACUCGCUGUACGCAAAGCCAUUGGUGCCUAGUAAACUAGUGCAUUGUCCUCUUGUUAUCUAACAGUUAAGUAGUUUAAUCCAAAACUAAGGACCAUCGCUGAGAAAUAUCUUUCCCAUGAAAACAGCACAGGAUCUGUUUUACACAAAACUUCCUAUAAUUCCAUACUAUUCUGUAAAUGAAAAUGGAUGGGCUACAAAAGCUAUGCCACACCUUAAUCUUGUUUCAGUUUAGUUCAGGUAAGAAACACGUUGAAACAGCCCAGGUCAUGUGAGAAUCACAAAGAUGAGGAUAAUGUAUACUACCUCCGAUCUGGACAUUGACACGGUCUUCAAUAUUGUACUUUGACCAACAAUAUCUAUAAAAAUAUAUUAUUUUUAAUAGAAAGAGAUAUAUGUCAUGAAAAUAUGUUUCCCAAUGAAUCUACUAAUAUCAACCUCAUUUUAUUAAUCUAUAUACAUUUUUAGCUAUUAUAGUCAAAGCUAAAAAAAUUGACUUACGAUACAGCCAAAUAAACUUAUAUUUGGGAUUAGAGGGAGUACAUGAGAAGGGUGCAGUUUAGGUUCCAUGACCAGUCAUAGAAAGAAAAGAACCUCACCAUGAUCACCAUGCCAUGAGAAGAAUGGAUGUUAUAUGAUAUGAUUUUGUUUACCACUACUAGCAUAGUGCAUAUAGCUAUAUCAUAUCCAGUGUGGUGCCUAGGUCUUUAUUUUUUCCCUCAAACACACAAGAAAGCUGCAUAUCAUUAUAUUAAGAAGAAGAAAGGGUAAAGAACCCUGGUUACACACAAGGUUCUUAAAAUUAGCAGAUUUAUAUAGAACUACUGGUAAGGCUGCACUAUAGACUAAACGCAGAGCUAUAAUACAUUCAAGUCAUGGACUAACCAAGACUAUAUGGGCCAUCCAUAAUAGCCCACAAGGCUGGGCCGUCAUGUAUGCACCUACACAGUUACUGCUGUAUUUCCAGUUACUGCUCUACUGUAAAUUGUAAUUAUCCAUAGCUGUAGUAGCACACUAAACAGUAGACCAACUUUUUUCCACCAAGCAUAGUGUGUUCUGGAAUAUUUCAUUUAUCAAAGCUGUGAAUUGACUUCGGUGUGCACAUGACACGACAGUGGUGAUUAAAACCAUCAAUAGCAAUUAAGAAGUUUGGCUUGUUUUUUUUCUCAAACCACACAGGAGAACUGCACGUCAUUUCAUUAAGGUAGAAAUAAAAGUACACGAGUCUAAAAAGUUUAGCUUGUAAAUUGAUCUAUACCAAUAUCACAUUAGGAAAAACAAAACUUACUGAAAUAGAGAUAUUGAUGCAAGCCCAAAAGGAUACCAUCAUUAGCGACCUGACUGUAAAAAGUACAGUAGAUAGUGAAUUUGUCGGUACUAUUAAUUUUUUUUCUCGAACAAUGCAGGAGAGCUGCGUGUCAUUUCAUUAAUAGAGAAUAGAAAGUACAAAGAGAGGGGGAUAGCCCCCAGACUAAGUACCGAACACACCCCAACACUCACAAGCACUACACACACACCCAAAACUCUAGCUUAUAGGUGCAACACCACAAGAGCCACCAAACGACCUACUGUUGACGCCAGAUUUUGACACGUAUGAAAUCGGCGUCAGGAAAGGAAGAAAUCAGGAGAUGCGGCAAGACACAGAGGUCACGGUUGAAAAUUGGCCGAUUGGUGCUACAGUCAGGGAUCGGCCGAUUACCCUUUAAGGGUUCAACUCCGCCUCGCCCGACCCCUGAGUACUGGGGUUGGAUGCGCCCGACCCUCCGAAGGAGGAUCUCCGCCUCGCCCGACCUUAGGUCCCAGGGUCGGUGUAGUCAGAGCCCCCGACAUGUGGGCCGUAAUCAGCUGUCCCUUGCCGAUAGAGUGGGUGAAAAUCGGCCGAUUAGGAGGCUGGAGCAAUUGGGCCGGUAUGGGCUUAAAGCGGGUCAUGAAGAUAAAAAAAGAAGUCAGCCCAGGAGAGCAUGAUGAUCAACUCCAGUACGAAUCGUACUUGUAAAUAUUCAUUUUUGUUUAAAAUUAGAGAUAGAGUUCUAGUCGGUUAAGGAGUCGUUUGUAACAGGCUAUAAAUAGCCACCUUUGUAGAUCUGUAAUCAUCAUCAAAUCAAUACAACAAACUACUAUUUCCUCGUACUUACUUUCAAGCCGGCGACUUCGCCAAUACUUUUCUUCUUUCUCACGAGUUCGUACGGGUUGGCGGGGCUGCAUCAACUUGACCUCCGGCCGAUCUUGUAAGUUCCGCUUAUCGAAUAGUUUCUAAGCUUUAACUUCGGGCGCAUCGCUGUCGUUUCGUUUAGAUUUAUUCACCAGUUAUCGAUAUUCACUAGAAUUCUAGGUUUUACCUGUUGUUCUAGUUUUAUCACCAGUUAUCCAGCUAGGAAUUGGAACCUUCGGCUUUCCUGUACUUCGUUAUUUAAUCUAUUCGUUUUACGCAUAGCCGAUUAGAUCUGUUCCUAGUGUUGUUACUGUAGCGUUGUUUAGAUUACUCCAGCAGUCUUCUUUAUUAACGUUGCCCGGUAAUCGGCUGCAUUAUAGCCGAUUUCUUUAUUACAGCAAAUCGGCCGAUUCGCUGAUAAGCUAUCUCGAGAUUGGAACUUUAGCCGAUCGCAACCUCUGGGAUCUGACACGUUUCUUUCCUUGCCAAUCAACAGGUCAGAUUGGAUGGCACGCCGCGCGAACCGCACCAGGACGAUCACCCGAACAGGAGUUAAGCAGAUUCUCCCGGGUCGUGUGUCCGACGCUGGGAUUCCAAUCAGCCGAUUUUUAGCGCCAACACACUUUUGGCACGCCCGGUGGGACCAAUACAACCGCCACUAUGUCGAAAGCUGCCGAAGUCUCGGAAGAUAACGUCAUCGAAGUGACAGAAGCAGACCUCAGGGACGACCAGAAGGAAGAAUUGGAGAAGCAGAUGGCAUACUACCGGAAGACAUGUCUGCAAUCCUUCAGUCGCACCAGGAGCGGGGAAACUGUCAAAAAGACUCCGUUUCCAACUCCCCAUCAGAUCACAAUCACCGAGGACUCGGACAAGAUGUCCGAGAUGGUUCAACAAUCUAUCUAUCAAGCUUUCAUUGAUCAAUCCCCGGUGAUUUCUAAUACGGUAUACAAUGCCAUCAUCAGCUCCUUGGCCAACGGCGUAUCCCAAGGGUACCAGGGGCCGGCAUAUGCUCCACCUAUCACGGCCCCGACCAGGAGUUAUUCAAAUACACCCUACUCGGCUCCUAAGCCGAUCCAGGCUCCAAUUGGAGGUCCCGGCACCUCCUCAUCAUCAAUCCCUCUGGGGCCUAACAGCGUGCCGUAUCUCCAGCCGCGGUCCGUUCAGUUGUCCUCCGCACAGUUGUCUCCUUCGAAUUCAAUGCCUUGGGGGACACCAUCGGCGUCGGCCGUCCAAGAUCAAUCAGCCAGCUAUGGAAGCAUUCCAAUCCAAGCACCUUUCCAAUCGGCUGCGCAGUCGAUGAUGCCACAAUAUCAGUCCAUCGUGCCGGAGAUGAGCAGGGGGGCAGAAGCAACAGAAGCACUUCGGGGCGUUGCGCCGAUCAUACUAUAUGACGAAGCCGUCGGCUCACUCAGACAGCCGAUCCCGACUACGCAACCAGCCACGUCGCAUCAAGCGCCCCACGUUCUCACCCACCACCCGGUUAUCCCGCCGCCGGUCUACCAACACGUGCCGUUUCCUCAGCCGAUAGUCCAUCAACAACAACCAGACUGGACGGCACGCAUAGCGGAGGUGAUUCAAGAACAAUUUGGUUUAAAACCGAAGAUGCAGACCUACACUUACAAGACACCAUACCCGCCUACUUAUGACUUGCUGCCGUUUCCCCAUCGGUACAAAGUUCCCGAUUUCACCAAGUUUUCGGGACUGGAUGACACCUAAACUGUAGAGCACGUGAACAGAUUCAUCAUCCAAUGCGGAGAGGCAGCGGCGCAAGAUGCUCUACGAGUACGCCUUUUCUCGUCAUCCCUGUCCGGGUCAGCCUUCCAAUGGUUCGCUACACUGCCACCCAACUCAAUAAUUACAUAGGCUGACCUAGAGAGGCAGUUUCACAAGUAUUUCUAUGCGGGGGUCCAUGAGAUGAAGCUUUCUGAUUUAACCAGACUCAGACAGAGAAGUGAUGAGCCGGUAUCCUCGUAUGUGCAGAGGUUCAGGGAGAUCAGAAACAAAUGUUACUCCCUGACUCUGACUGACGCACAAUUGGCCGACAUAGCCUUCCAGGGUCUCCUGCCUCAUAUCAGGGAGAAAUAUGCUUCACAGGAGUUUGAGAGCUUGAGCCAAAUUGUGCAUCGUUUGUCGGGCCAGGAGGUACGCCACUUUGACCCAUGAAGGAACUUCCAGAAAAAGGUGGCGUACUUAGAGGAGGUUGAAUCCGAAGAAGAAACGGAAAUCGGCCUGGCGGAGUGGGUUAAAGGAAAAAAGCCGAUAUCGUGUCCGUUCGGGAAAAAGAGGCCGGAAACAUUCGGAUUUGACACAUCAAAGGCUGAUAAAAUUUUCGAUCUUCUUCUCCAAGAAGGACAGAUCAAGCUUUUGCCAUAUUAUACGAUCCCGUCGGCCGAACAGCUGAAGAAGAUGAAAUAUUGCAAGUGGCAUAACGCCACCUCCCACGAUACAAAUGAAUGCAAAAUCUUCCGACAGCAAAUACAGUCGGCCAUCGAACAAGGCAGGCUCAAAUUUGAAGUCCCAACAAAGCCGGCCAAGCCGAUGAAGAUCGACCAACACCCCUUCCCCACCAACAUGGUUGACACGGGGAAGAAUUCGCUCCAAACCAAGGUGCUGACAUCUGAAUCGGCUAAGAAAAGUGGCGUCGUGGACCUCAGAAAUCAAGCGACGCCCGAAGACGUCAAGGGAAAACGGCGGAUGGAGGAUGAAUACGACGGAUCAGAAGAACCACGCAGGCCUGUCACUUCCAAAUUUUUGCUCGACAAAUAUCAACGGCAGCAGGAACACUCAAGAUCCCGAGAAGAGGCGAUGCGGCGACAUGAAGAUCACUGGCGAUGCCCAUUCUUCAUCCACUGCUGGGAGAGCAACCUUAGGUUGCCGUCGGCCGAUAAUUUCCCUGAAUGCAACGGCCCGUAUCGUAAUAAUCGGUCAUUCAGGAGGUAUCGCUCCAGAGAUGGAAGACCAGAGCCGAUCAGCACGAAUUGGCGCGAACAAGAAGACCGGCGCCCUCCAAUGCGUGAUCGGCUGGGGGGCAGAAGUGACCGACAUGAUCGGCCGGAAGACAGGCGCGAACGAAACGAUAGGCCGGGGGGCACGUUCGGUCGGCACAGCCAACCAGAAAACAAGGUCAGCGUUCACGAUCGACUGGAAGAGGUGGCCGAUGCUCGGGUAUCAGAUGAGAACCCCUUUGGACGCAAACCAGAAUGGGAACGCGCCAGGCCACAGACUAAACCGGUGAACCCUAGGUGGUGCCCUGAUGGAUUGACCAAGUCUCAAAAACGAAGAAUCCAACGUCUCCGCCAGUGGGAACAAUAGGAAGAAGAGCAACGACAUACGGUGGAUGACAGAAACGACAGGUCUCAGGUCUGGCGCCCCAAAAGAAACGACAGGGGGGACGACGAAUCGGCAGCCGACAUCAGCAUGGUUUUCAUACUGCCGAUGGAAUUCAUGACUCCUGCCGACCGACAGAACAUGUCGGCAAUAGAAGAGUAGAUGGCACAAUUGGCUUUGGAGCCAAUGACAGCCACGUUCGAGAAGCCCGAAGAUGACAAACGACAACACCUGAAGGCAUUGUUCCUUAAGGGGCAUGUCAACGGCCGACCCAUCACCAGAUUGCUAGUAGACGGAGGAGCUGCUGUUAACAUCAUGCCAUAUGCCAUGUUCCGGAAGCUAGGAAAGAGUGAUGAUGACCUUACUAGGAUAGACAUGAUGCUCAAGGACUUCGAAGGCAACGUGUCUCCCGCCCGCCGCGCACUCUGCGUCGACCUCACCAUCGGCAGUAAGACCCUUCCUACUACUUUCUUUAUUAUUAAUGGCAAAGGGUCCUACAAUAUGCUACUCGGCCGAGACUGGAUACACGCAAAUUGCUGCAUCCCGUCUACGAUGCACCAAUGCCUCGUACAGUGGGUCGGCGACAACAUCGAGGUGGUCACCGCCGAUUCCGCAUACAGCGUCGCGGCAGCCGAUACGUAGCAAUGGAGCUGCGAGAAUUUCAAGUGCAUAUCCGGGAGGAUAUGGGACACUGAUUUCCUGAAGGUGUCCGAUUUUGGCCUACAGCCGAUCCGAGCAGUCGGCUCUGAAGAUUCAGACUAAAUGGAUCAGUUCGCCCAGGAAGAUGGAAAGCUAGGACACGGGUUCACGUCGGCCGAUUCAUUAGAAAUGAUAGACUUAGGCGAUGGCACCAAACCAAGGCCGACGUAUAUUAGUGAAAAUUUGGAUCCGGAAUACAAAUGUAAAUUAACAAAUUUAUUAAGAGAAUUUAAGGAUUGCUUUGCUUGGGAAUACCAUGAGAUGCCCGGAUUAGACUGAUCUAUUGUCGAACAUCGGUUACCCAUAAAGCCGGGGUAUCGGCCGUAUCAACAGCCUGCACGGCGGUGUAAUCCUAAAAUCCUACCUGAUAUAAAGGCCGAAAUAACGCGGCUAAUCGAAGCAAAAUUUAUUCGGCAAUGCCGUUAUGCCGAAUGGAUCUCCAACAUUGUACCCGUAUACAAGAAGAACAGAAAGCUCCGCGUAUGCGUCGAUUUCAGGAAUCUCAAUCAGGCCACGCCAAUGGACGGAUACCCAAUGCCGACGGCCGAUGUGCUGAUAGAUGCCGUCGCGGGGCCUAAAGUUAUUAGUUUCAUGGAUGGAAACGCUGGAUAUAAUCAGAUACUAAUGGCCGUAGAAGACAUAUCCAAGACUUAUCGGUUUGAAAAACGCCAGCGCUACGUAUCAGCGAGCCAUGAAUUACAUAUUUCACAAACUUAUCGGCAUACUGGUGGAAAUUUACAUCGACGAUGUCGUAGUCAAAUCAAAAGGACACCAGGAGCAUUUAACUGAUUUGCGGCAGGUACUGGAAUGCACAAAGAAACAUGGGCUGAAGAUGAACCCGAAUAAGUGUGCCUUCGGUGUAUCCGCCGGACAAUUCUUAGGAUUCAUGGUUCACGAGCGGGGGAUAGAAAUCAACCGGAAGACCAUAGCAGCCAUUAAUAAAGUCGUGGUCCCGCAAAAUAAGACUAAGUUGCAGUCCCUAAUCGGUAAGGUGAAUUUCAUCAGAAGACUCAUAUCUAAUCUGUCUAGGCGUAUCCAAGCCUUCACACCAUUGUUAAAGUUGAAGCCCGACCAAGAGUUCAUAUGGGGAGAAGAGCAACGCAAGGCACUAGAAGAUAUCAAGCAGUGCUUGGUCUCACCACCAGUAUUGGUCCCACCUCAAACUGGUAAACCGUUUAAACUGUAUUUAUCAGCCGAUGAACGAGCUAUCGGGUCGGCUUUGGUCCAGGAGUUCGAGGGAAAGGAACGGGUAAUAUAUUAUGUGAGCAGGAGACUUCAGGACGCUGAAACAAGGUAUCCCUCGGUAGAGCGGCUAUGCCUAUGCCUUUACUUCUCAUGCACCAAACUCAAGCACUAUUUGUUAUCGGCAGAAUGUGUAGUCAUAUGCAAAGAUGAUGUGGUAAGAUACAUGCUGUCAUUGCCGAUCUUGAAAGGACGAAUCGGAAAAUGGAUCUUGGCCUUAUCAGAAUUCGAUCUACGAUAUGAAUCGGCAAAGGCCGUCAAGGGUCAGGUUAUGGCCGAUUUUGUUGCCCAGCACUGCGGACCAGAGACUACCUUCGUUGAACCAGUGCCGUGGACCUUGUAUUUUGACGGUUCAUCAUGUGGGGCCGGAUCAGGAAUCGGCAUCGUUCUCAUAUCGCCUCGGGGGGCAAGCUAUGAUUUCUCUCUGCCGAUAGAAGCAUCCGCCACUAACAACCAAGCAGAGUACCGAGCUGUGUUGAAGGGGUUACAAUUAUUAAGGGAAAUCAAGGCCGACGCCGUCGAGAUUUUUGGGGAUUCCAUGCUUAUCGUGGACCAAUUGACAGGAAGGUCUGAAUGCAAGGAUGAUGUAUUAAGGAUUUAUUACGAGGAUUGCCUUCAACUUCUGAAAGAAUUCAAGUCCGCGGUUAUUGAGCACAUCUCUAGGAAUCAUAACGAGGAUGCCAACAGGCUUGCCCAACAUGCAUCCGGAUAUCGGCCGAUUCAAGGCGCUAUGGCUUUAGAGCUCGCAGCCGACGACUGGCGAAAAGAGAUCGCCGAUUACCUGAAAGAUCCAUCUAAGAAAGUGGAUCGGCGGAUACGAUUUCAGGCCACAAAAUAUGUUCUACUAGAGGACGACCUGUUCUACCGGACGAUUGAUGGUGUCCUGCUCAAAUGCCUAGGAACAGAGGAGGCGAAAACUCUGAUGGGAGAAAUCCACGAAGGAGUGUGUGGAGCCCACCAAUCGGCACAUAAGAUGAAAUGGAUGAUUAGGAAUAAUGGGUACUACUAGCCGACAAUCCUCGAAGACUGCUUCAAAUAUUAUAAAGGAUGCCAAGAUUGUCAGAAAUACGGGAAUGUACAGCGUGCGCCCGCAUCGGCCAUGAAUCCUAUUAUCAAACCAUGGUCGUUCAGAGGAUGGGGAAUAGACCUCAUCGGACAAGUUUAUCCUCCGUCAAGCAAAGGGCAUAAAUUUAUUCUAGUAGCCACAGAUUAUUUCACCAAAUGGGUGGAGACGACUCCGCUAAAGGCCGUGACAUCGGCCGCCAUGGUUGAUUUCGUAAGGGACCAUAUCGUCUACCGUUUUGGCAUUCCCCAGACUAUCACAACUGAUCAAGGAACGAUGUUUACAUCAGGGGAAUUUGAAGAGUUCACAGCUGAGAUGGGAAUCAAACUACUAAACUCCUCUCUGUACUAUGCCCAAGCUAAUGGUCAGGCCGAAUCUUCCAAUAAAGGGAUAAUUAAGUUAAUCAAGAGGAAGAUAGAAGAACAGCCGAAAAAGUGGCAUCUAUGCUUGACCGAGGCUCUAUGGGCAUACAGGAUGGCUUGCCACGGGGCCACCAAGAUGUCUCCUUAUCAGUUGGUGUACGGUCACGAGGCAGUACUGCCGUGGGAAUUGAGGGCAGGAUCGAGAUGCACGUCGCUCCAAGAUCAGUUGACGGCCGACGAUUACUCCUUACUCAUGAAAAGGGAACUCGAUGACUUGGCGGGCCAACGAUUGAGAGCUUUGAUCAGUAUCGAAGAAAACAAGAAGAAGGUGGCCAGAUGGUAUGAUAAGAAGGUCAAGGUCAAGCAGUUCUCUCCGGGGGACCUAGUAUGGAAGUUAGUGCUGCUGAUCGGGUCAAAGGAUCCUAAAUUCGGUAAGUGGUCCCCUACGUGGGAAGGGCCGUAUAAAAUCAGCCGGUGUGCUCCGGGAAACGCUUACAUUCUGGAAACGAUCGAAGGAGAAGAGUUCACUAGGGCUUUGAACGGAAGAUACUUGAAAAGGUACUACCCUAGUAUAUGGGUCGGAGCAUAAGGAUCGACCGCAGAAUAUGGUAAACAAACAUACAGCCGAUACAAGAGAAAAUCGCCUAAAGGGAAAAUAUAAUCGUCCAAAUCGGCCGAUUUAUCUUUCGGUACGGACGAUGGGUCACACGGCCGACGCAGUACAAGUCGCCCUUAGAACAAAAAUAAUUAACCACGCUUCUUCUUAAGUUCUCUCUCUACCCGGCCUAGUUCUAUCAGAAGACGGAUGUGCCGUUCUUCUAUGUCUUUCAUCGCGGCUUCCGCUUCAACUUGACGGGGAACAAGAUGACUCCGGUUCACUGCCGGGCGUGAUGUCCCUGCCAUUGCAUCUUCAAGAGCAACUUGAUGAGGAAGCGGGUGGCUCCUGUCGGCUUGAGGUCGCCUGUGGUCGUUACCAUCGAGGAAGUCCCAAAUCCGUUGAACAUCGGCAAGGACGUGUUCCUUGAAUUCUUCACGAUGAGCCCUAAUUAGAUCAUUGUCUUCUUGUGACAAUGGUUCAUCAGAGUACACGAGCCCGAUGGCUCGUUCGAGUCCAGGGCUAAGGUGCCGCGGCUAGGAAAAGAGACAAUAUAAAACCGUCGAAGAUGAGAUUUUUCAGAGGAAUCGAACUGAGAGAAAGGCGGAGGCAGGUCUCUUACCUGGUUAACAGAGGAAAAAGAAGAUGACGAAGAAGACAUGACUGCAGAGCGCGCCGGCGGAAACAAGUCAGGGGAAGAGAGAAUCAAGUUAAACGGGUGCUCUCAAAAGUGAAACCAAGGCUUGUAUUUAUAAGUGGAGAAAGCGUGGAUGCUUGGUAAGACGUGUCCCAUCAGAAGUAAAAAGGGUAAUAAAUAAGAGAGCGCCGCGAAGGACGGUCAAAGGAGGCAUUAAUGUUCGUACAAAGCUACCAGUACUUUUACAGGUCGCCCAAAAGGGCGUUGAUAGCCGCAAUCGCUCGACGCCGGAUCUGAUCGGCCGAGUCCAGGACCCGUUGGUCAUCCUCUGCCGAUCCCGGGACUUCUGACAUGUGGCGGUGGAGUCUAUGGGCUUCGUGAGCUAGAUGCUGCCUCUCCCGCUUCAAAUCGGCGAUGACGGAAGGAAGUUCCUGAAGCCUCUUCUCUUCGGUGGCUAUUUCCUUGGUCACUUGCUCCAUCUCCUUGGCAAGUUCUGCUCUUCGGCGUUUGAGGCGGUCUAUCGUGCCGACGAUUCCAGGGUGAGAGUCCUCCAGAAAAUGAAUCCGUUGAUGAACCUCUUGAGCCUGACGCUUGUACAAAUCUUCUUCUUCACGAGUCUUGGUCAGUUUGGCGCGAUCGGCCAUGUGAUGCAGAGCCCUGAAGACCGGAAUCCGCACUGACUCAAUAUACGCGGCCGGCGCCAAGGCUUCUUCUGCCUCUUCUGGUACUCGCCCGCUCACAUCACCAAAGAGCUGCCGAAUCGGCGAGGUAUCUUCUACCAAUCGGCCGAUGUCCUCUUGAAGAAGGGAUCGUAUGCUUUCAAGCUUGGCACGGACGUCGUCAGGAACGGAGCUCAAAGUGACCUGAUGGGAAGCAACUUCCUCGUCAUCAGAAAGUGCGACCGCGAACGAGAAGAGGCUGUUAUUAGGGGUGUCCUGUUCCUGUAAAAUAGUAAAUGAAAAGAGAACAAGUCAGCCGAUGGUAGUAGCAAAUCGGCCAAUUAAGGGUGGGAGGUCUCUUACCUCUUUAAAAUGGAUUUCUUCCAGCUGCGUUUGCAAAACCGUCACCCUCGACUCUAGGACUGGCACCAUUGGUUCGUCGGAAGAAGAGGACUCAACGACAAUCGACGCUCUGCUCGGGCCAGCUUCUUGAAGGAUGGCCAAUGGUUGAUCAGGCAAUGCGCUUAGCGUGCCGGUAACCUAUGUCAAAGUUAGUAAGAGCGUCAUCCAAAUACUAGAAGAUCGGGUUGAAGGAUCAUAUACCUCAGGAGGAGGGAGCGCUGACAUUUCAUUAGCUGCUUGGGUUACUGCCGAUUGCUGAGGGUUCACAAGGGUAGUCUGUGCAGCCUAAUAUAAGAGGAGUCAGUAUGAAAAUAGCAAUCAGGAAGAUUGGACAGUGAGUUUACCUGCAUAGCCUCCACCAAUAAUGACGCGGCGGCUGCUCCGGCUUCUGUGGCGACUUGAAUGUCUACCUCUUCAGCAAUCGGAAGGGUCGGCACGGCCGAAGUUUCUACCGAUAUAAUCAUGGGUGGAUCGGCCGAUUCUGUACAGGCACGCACUCGGCGACUGGUCUUCUUGACAACCUUCCUCUGCGCCUGCUUCGCUCGGCCGGCGAUGUCGUCUACAGAAGGGGCAUGAUAGCCGCUGAGGGGGAAUGUUGUGUAUGGAUAACGGUCCUCUAUCGGCCGACCACUCCGGCUGCGUUUUGGGGGAACGCGGCUUUCAGACUGAGUCAACAGCAAGAGUUAGUAUAUAUGUGUGAAAAAAAAUAAGGGGAAAUGAAAAUCGGCUAGGGAAAAGAAGAGUACCUCGGCGUUCGGAUCAAUGUUGGCUGGAUCCAGGAGGUUGCAGUAUAUCGAUGCAGAAGUGCAGAACAGGUACUGUUUCCAUUCGGCUCACCAUAGCUUGAAUUGCUGAACGGUGAAAGGGGCUACUAUCCAUUCAUUCAGGUCUAUGGUACUGGAGUCUGGAAUCCGAUCUCGCAGCCGAUUAUAGUCAAGACCCUUGGUGAGUUCAUCUCUGAACUUUGCUCGGCUGGCGAAGUAUGCAUAAAUCGGCAAUUGACCCAUGCCGAAUUGCCGUGCUGCGACGGAGGGGUUGUAGAACUCAUAAGUAGGAGCAUCUUUCCCCAAGAAGAAGUUUGCCGGUAAGAUUCCCGGUUUGAUUAAUUCGUCUGUGAGGUUUUCAUCGAAUCGGCCAGUAGUUGAGUCAAAACAAGAAGGGAGCUCAAAGAUUGGGUCAUCCCUCUGAUAAGGGAACCAGCUGGUUGCGUCUUCGCUGAAGCCAUUAUAAAAACACCUGAAGUAUUCGGCCACCUUGGUAGCAGAGUACGAGCAGCCAGAAAAGGCCGAUGCCGCUUCGCCGAAAGAUGUACAUCGGCGUCGGACAGUGGGGUUCUCUGCCGAUUCGAUGUUGGGGAAUGUCAUGUGCUCCACUCGCUGCUGAGAGAUCUUGCUCAUGUAUAGGUUAAGCCAUAAGUUGAUAAACCACCAGGGCCCACCGGGGUUUCCAAUCGGCUCCCCUUGGGAUAAUUUAACGCCGAUUUGGUGGAGCAUGUGAUAGGCUGCCCCCAGUAGGUGCUUUCCAAGGGGAACAGAGGCCCCUAUCGAUAAUGCCUCGGCCAGAGCCUGUGUGUUGGUGGAUGGACCGGCUGCUCUCCCACAGAAAAAAUGUUUCUCUAGCCACAUCAUCAGGAAAGCCGUGUGCUCUCUGUUCUCGACUGAUCCGGCCCUCCUAUUGCAUCUAAUGAAUCCCUUCCAUCCGUCGAUUCUCUUUGUGUCCAGCCGAUGAGAUGUCGUGGCCAAAAGGCGAAAAGGGGUAUCUAGGGAGGAGAUAUCAAGGCUGGUUAACAUAACCACAUCGGCCAAGGUGGGAGUCAUAGGUCCGUGGCCGAAGAGGAAUGCAUUAAGAGCGUCGGACCAGAAAUAAGAGGCUGCUAUCACUAAUGGCUCGUUUCUUUCCAUUUGGGAUAAAGAUAGAUCGAUGCACUGGCCGAUUUUGCGCUCAUCCCAUUGGACUCUCUUGGAGGCGGCUAUCCUUUGGUACCAUUCUCUCCAGCCGGGGGUUUCAUUCGGCCAUGACCUGAAGGUACCUGACCAGUGAUCUAAGUCCAUGGUUGAUUGCUUAAAAGGGAUCCUAUGGGUUUCCAGAUUGAUUAGAUCAGUUGGAUCCGGGUUUCCCAUGGGACCAAGACAGAUAAGGUCGGGGGUUUCUGUAAGACGAAUGGUAAUCUGAUGCCUAACCACCUAAAAAAGGAAAAAAGAGGGUGCGGGAGUAAGAACGGAUCUAAAAGUAAAUACAUUAUUAAGGAAAGUUUCGGUAAUGACCUCCGGGAUGAAACUCAUCGUAGUUGGCGGGAUCGCCGAUGGAGCUGCAGAUGCUGAAGCCACCAAUGGGAUUUCGGUUGAAGCCCCAAUUUCCGCCGAUGGAGCUCCUUCUCCCAUCGAUGGAGCCGCUGUCGUUGCCGCCGGAACUUCCGCUGAUGGGGCCAUUUUCGGGGCUUCGGGCGGUGGUGAAGUGCCUGAAGGUGCCGCCAUUGGAGAAGUAGGGAGGAAUGUGGAUGGAAGGAGACGCUGGGGAAAAGCUGGGAGCUAAGGAAGGCGCCGGAGGAAGAAGAAGGCCCGUGUGCUAAAGAAGGAAGAUGUGAGCUCGUAAGGGGAGUACGGGACGUGCUGGUAUUUAAAGGUGGUCUGAGAAGGGGUAAAAGCGGAACUUUUACCACGCCGGCGUUUCGAUUUUUUCGGGAGGAGUGGUUGUCGUGGGCGCCCGUUUCGAAAAGAUUGCAAUCAUCAGGCUGGAGACCGCGAAACGGAAGGAUAUUUUCAAUGCGUUUGUUUCGGAAGGGAAGUUGAAAAGAAUUUCGAAGUAAAGACUAUGUUUUACUCCGAAACUGGGGGGCAUGUGUUGAUUCCAGAUUUUGACACGUAUGAAAUCGGCGUCAGGAAAGGAAGAAAUCAGGAGAUGCGGCAAGACACAGAGGUCACGGUUGGAAAUCGGCCGAUUGGUGCUACAAUCAGGGAUCGGCCGAUUACCCUUUAAGGGUUCAACUCCGCCUCGCCCGACCCCUGAGUCCUGGGGUCGGAUGCGCCCGACCCUCCAAAGGAGGAUCUCCGCCUCACCCGACCUUAGGUCCCAGGGUCGGCGUAGUCAGAGCCCCCGACAUAUGGGCCGUAAUCAAUACAACAAACUACUAUUUCCUCGUACUUACUUUCAAGCCGGCGACUUCGCCAAUACUUUUCUUCUUUCUCACGAGUUCGUACGGGUUGGCGGGGCUGCAUCAACUUGACCUCCGGCCGAUCUUGUAAGUUCCGCUUAUCGAAUAGUUUCUAAGCUUUAACUUCGGGCGCAUCGCUGUCGUUUCGUUUAGAUUUAUUCACCAGUUAUCGAUAUUCACUAGAAUUCUAGGUUUUACCUGUUGUUCUAGUUUUAUCACCAGUUAUCCAGCUAGGAAUUGGAACCUUCGGCUUUCCUGUACUUCGUUAUUUAAUCUAUUCGUUUUACGCAUAGCCGAUUAGAUCUGUUCCUAGUGUUGUUACUGUAGCGUUGUUUAGAUUACUCCAGCAGUCUUCUUUAUUAACGUUGCCCGGUAAUCGGCUGCAUUAUAGCCGAUUUCUUUAUUACAGCAAAUCGGCCGAUUCGCUGAUAAGCUAUCUCGAGAUUGGAACUUUAGCCGAUCGCAACCUCUGGGAUCUGACACGUUUCUUUCCUUGCCAAUCAACAGGUCAGAUUGGUUGGCACGCCGCACGAACCGCACCAGGGCGAUCACCUGAACAGGAGUUAAGCAGAUUCUCCCGGGUCGUGUGUCCGACGCUGGGAUUCCGAUCAGCCGAUUUCUAGUGCCAACACCUACCAACACAGCCUAAUUGGCUAUGGAAGAUGACCUGGCAAGGAGGUCCUGGAGCUUAGAAGCUCCGGCCAUGCCCCACAAGACACACUCAUCAGCUACAUUUUGCAGCAACUCUGUAAUGCUAGGUCUUGUAUGUUCAAACACACAUGAGUUCCUAUGCUUCCAUGUUUCCCAGGCGACCAAAAUAACCAGUGAGUUUAGACCUUUCCUCUGUUCUUUAGAAACAGCUCGAAGAGCUUUCCCCCACCAGCUCAGGAAUCUGGUGUUUGAAGCAAUGGGGGCAAUAUUUGCUAGGUGUAGGGGCUGGAGAAUUGAAAACCAAAUUUGUCUAGAGAAGACACAGCCAACCAGAAGGUGCUGAAUAGCUUCAUCCUCUUGAUCACAGAAUAGGCAAGCUUCAUGGUGGGACAGGCCCCUUUUAGCUAGGCGAUCCGCCGUCCAGCACCUGUUGUUAAUUGCUAGCCAAAUAAAGAACUUGCAGCGGAGGGGAGCCCAGCUCUUCCAGAUCCUCCUCCAGGGGAGAAUUUGAUGGUCCCAACGAAGAAAGCCGCAUAGGCCGACUUGCUGCUGUAACUUCCAGAUCGGGUUAGUUUCCAUCUGAACUGAUCUGGUACCUCAUGCUAUAUCACCAUGCUAUCUAUCAAAUCCCAGACCUGGAGGUAUUCCACCAGAACCUGGAUAGAUAAGGCGCCCUUGAUGUCAGACACCCAUUUUUGGUUACUGAUGGCCUCAGCCACAGUUCGCCUUCUAACUAUUCUCUUGGGAAUGGCAAGUAUAAAGUUAGGUGCAAUCUCCGCCAUGGUUUUGCCAUUCAGCCACCUGUCCUUCCAGAACAGAAUGGUCUCCCCAUUUCCCACAAUUGCUUCUACAGCCAUGUUGAACAGACCUUGAGCCCUAUGAGGGACCUGAAUUUGGAAGCCACCCCAUGGUCGAGAAGGGUCCGUUUUCUGUGCCCACAACCAACGGAUUUGGAGAGCCCAUCCUAGCAACUCAAGGUUAUGGACCCCCGAUCCUCCAUAUUCCAUGGGCCUCUGGACCCUCUCCCAAGACACCAGGCAAUUACCACCAUUUCCCUGAUCUUGUCCUUUCCACAAGAAGCCCCUUCUUCUUUUGUCUAUAGCCUUGAUAACCCAUUUUGGGAGGUCAAAGGCUAACAUGUGAUACAUAGGAGAGGCUGUCAGCACCGCCCUCACCAUAACCAGACGACCAGCCCUAUUCAUCAUAGAGGCCUUCCAUCCCGGGAGUUGAUCAGCCACUCUAUCGAUUAGGGGUAACAACACUUCCUUUGUGGGUUUAUGAAUCGAGAGAGGCAGACCAAGAUAUGUACAUGGGAAAUUUUUUACAGGACAAGCUAAGACCUCUGCAGUAAGAAGCAAUUCAUCUUCCGAACAUUGGAUGGGAGAGACAAAACUCUUACUGAGAUUAGUAUGCAGGCCAGAGGCAUGCCCAAAUAAGUCCAGAAUGGCCUUGGUGACCUGGAGGUCCAAAUUGUUCGGUCACAAGAAAACUACAGCAUCAUCAGCAUAAUAGGACACCCGGUGCCGAGCAUGUUGUACUGCAAGUGGAUGCAAUAACUGUUCUCUAGAAGCAUAUUCCACCAACAAGUUCAGAACCCCCAUGACUAGAAUGAAUAGCAUGGGGGGAGAGGGUCACCCUGACGAAGGCCCCGGCGAUGUAGGAUUGUCUCCCCUGGCUCUCCAUUCACAAGGAUUCGAGUAGAAGAGGUUGACAGGAUCAGGCAGAUUAGGUUGAUAGCUUACUAUUGUCAGGGAUGGUGGGAUGAUGAGACUGCUAAAUAUUUGCAGGUCAGAGACAUUGGCAGCCCCCACACAAACAAGCAAGUCUCCUGAUCUUCAAGUUGCUGCCCUGGGUGUACAAGAAGUUGGGGGCACAGAACCUGCAGUGCCUCAAGGAACUGCUCGAGUAUAGGAAUGAACAGUGUGUGCACCUGCAUACUGCUACAAGAAUCAAUAGUAUUCUGCACUGUGCAGGCCGUCUCCAGGAAUUCGAGGCUCGAGAGUGAAAAGUAAAAUGGGGCCCUAAAAGUUAAAGAAAAAUCAUGUCUAAUAUAUAUAUAAGUUAUACUACAUAAUUAUGUAACUUGGGUACAUGUUUUAUACUACAUAGCAAGUAAUUUGAAUAAUUUACAUGAACUCUAGUCUUCUCAAGAUAAUAAAACAAAAGAAUGCUGAACCUUGAAAUUAGAAUGAGCAAUAAUCUGUAAAUUUUGGAUGUGUGACAUCAACUAUCUUUAAAAAAACUUGCUAUCUGAAGUUUUAACCUUCUACUGCAGAGCAAUUUAUAUCAUUUAAAAUUCGAUAAGUGGUCUACAGGACAAGGGACAAUUAUAGAAGUAAUCAAACACUAAAACAAUUGCUAGAUUCCAUCAUUAGUUGAUGGAUCGACACACUUACCAAGAGGCCUACCAUGCGUACAGCAGUGAUGGCAUGCAUGAUGCCUUCAUUCUUCUGGAUACUGUCUAGCAGUGAUGGCCACGAAUAGACAUGCAAUGGGCCUUUUUCUUUUUCCCUUAUUGAUUAAAUCCAUACUUAACCGCAUAUUAGCAAUUUGGUGGCCCCAGAUUUUUGGUGGCCCUGUUCGGUCGCUCACUUCACACCCCCUCAUCGAUGGCCCUGGCACUGUGUGAGAGCAGAAUUGAGCAAAAUAAAACACAGUAAAACAAUACUGACAAUUAGCAGAUUUAAACUAAAAUACUUACAUGUGCUUCUCAGGUACAUACAACGCCUCCUACAUGCUGCAACAAAUAGGUAUCAUUCCUAUCAAUUUUUCCUUUGAAGUGCUAGCACAUCUGUCAAUAAAGGAUAUUGGUAGAGUCAGUGAAGGAUAUUCGUAGAAUAAUUGCAUAUCGAGCAAAAAACGUGCUCACCCGGGAAGUGAGUACAAAGGUCUGAAGGAUCCAUCGCGUAUGUCUGAGGAGGACAUAUCUGACGAUGAUGUGGAGGCACUGCUGGCUAAGUUUUUCAGGAACUAUCAGGGAGUACCAGUAAUCCCUGCAGCCCUUCGUCGGUAUGAAUCCUGGUAUGAGCCAGAAGUGGUAAGUUUUUCCUCCUGACUUGUUCUUCUGUGACUUGGGUUUCUUGUUGCUGAUACCGAUUUGUUGUUUAGAAGUCCCGAGUUCUUGACGGCUACGUGGCACGGUCGGAAGAAGAAUCGGAAGCCGUCAUCGAGGAGUCGGAGGACGAGCCUUCUCCUCCUGUCAAGAGGCGUAGAGUAGUCCGCAAGAUGGUUGCGGCUAAGUCUGCGUCAACCACUGAAAAGUCUCGGGGUACCAAGGUAUGUAGUCGAUAACUUGUAUGUCACCGAGGAGCUUGAAAUGCGUUAUUGACGUGGUGAAUCUUGUCUUGGUUCGCGAAGGCUGUAGAUGAGGCUGCCUCUGAAGAAAUAGCCGCGUCCGAUCCUGAAGUCGGUGAUGAGGCUGUUGACACGGUGCCGGAGAGGGUACCAUCAACAGAAACUGUGGUAGCCCCCGAGUUAACUGCGCCAACUCCUCCGGCUGCCAUGCCACCCAUUACCGACCAGGCGGUUCUAGGGCUUCCUGCUGGAGUAGCGAAGGAGGUGUCACCAGUACUUGCUACUGGCACCUUGCUGUCCAAUGUGAUAGACAGUGGUAAGCGUUGUCUCUUCCGAUUGUUUUCAAUUGAGUAGUACUGUUGGUCUUGACCUCGAUUUUGUAGGUCUUGGUGAAAAGACGGUGCCGGCGGCUGUUCCUGCGGCUCCUGGUACUCGGCCACCUGUCGCCGAGAAAAAAUGUGUGCGACUGCCGCCACGCUCAACCCGGUGAGCUUACAUUUCUUGUUGGAAUGAUGUUGAAGUGUCUUGAGCUCAUGUAGUAACACGUUGGUGGUGCAGAGAUGCAGAGGAAACUAUUCCUGUAGAGACAGGGAUAGUGCCGAAACCUUUGACUACAGCAUCAAUUCCACUGGAGGACUUCAUUGUUGAAGAAAUACCCGAGGUUGACGAUGGCCGUCUUGGAGCUACUAUGUCGAUGCUUCAAGAUGUGAUUCGCUUAGUGGAGGAACCCGCUGCUGCAUCAGGCUCGGGGAGUGCCGGCCUAGCAUCAUCCUCUAGCGGAGCGCUGGCUGUUGUUGAGAAAUCCAAACAGUCGACUGCUCCAGGUAAGUGUCUGUAAUUUGUUAUUGUAAUCAUAGUCGGUAGCUGAUAUGAUGAAUGUUGUAGGUGCUUCUCUGGGUACGAUUCCUUGUGGAUAGUACCCAAAGGCCAGUACUCAGCCCUCCUUCUGACUUGGAGCUUCAGAGGGCCAUGGAUGUGUUCCGGGGCGUCCAGGUAGAUGUUGCCGAUAUUACUUCAUGAUCUGAGUAGUCGUGAGGCGUGAAACUCACCACAGUGUACUUGAAUCCUUUCAGGAAAGAAACUAUCAGCUGGAGCAGGAAUGUGCCCAACUGAGAGAAGCGCUUCGGGUUCAUGAAGUCGGGGUGAAAUCCUUUGCCGUGGAACGCGCGGAUCACGCCGUUCUGCAAGAGAAACUACAGAGCUGCUACAAGUCCUUGAACAAGAAGUAUCAAGGUAAGCAUGGUGACUACUUUGGGUGUGUCCAACUGCAGUUGGAUGUAACCUGAGUUCUUGUGCUUUGUAGAGCUCAAGAAGCAGGAGGCGGCUGCAAAGAGCCAAGUUAUUGAUUGGAGGAACGCUCAUGACCGAGUGGCAGAUGAAGCCGAGCAUCUUCGGGCCGCGCUCACAGAAGCACAAGCGGCUUGCGAGCAUCAGCGAGACCGAAAGAUGCAAAAUGGUGUAAUGCUCGCCAUGGCCAUGGUGGUAUGUAGAGAUCAUGCCCAAACCUUGGGAAGACUUUGGGGCGAACUCCGAGAGCUGUCUGGAGCGGCCGAAGAUUUGGUGAAUGCCAUAGCCCCCGUGGAGGAAGGCGCAGGACCACAAUCGCUAGUAGAGCGACUAAGAGCUGCCCCGAGUAAAGUAGUGGGACUUUGCAAGACUGUUUGCAAACAGGUUCUUGCAGUUGUGAAGUCCUACUACCCGAGGGCAGACUUGGCGGCAGUUGGAGAUGGCAUGGCUCGCAACUGCACAGAGGAGGCCUAUGCGCAGUACCUUGAAGAGGCGGAGCCUAUUGCAGCCAAGAUGUCAGAGUUUGUUUCCUUAGAAGAGCUUUGAACUGUUUGUGUACUCUUAUAUUUGAAUACAUUGAUAUUUUGAAAUGUCGAGCCUUUUGGAUUUGUUGUCGUUGUCUUGCAAAGAGUAGUUGUUGUUUACUCCAUUUUGUCUAAACUCGAUGUAUUGCAACUCUGCUGUGCCCGACCCCCUGGGGAGGGGAUUCAACUUCACUUGACCUUGAGGCUUGGGGUCGGCUCCGCCCGACCUUGAGUCCUGGGUUCGGCUGAGCCCGACCCUCCAGAAGGGCAGUUCCGCCUCGCCCGACCCCGGGUGAGGCUCCGCCUCGCCCGACCUCGAGGCCUGGGGUCGGCAGAGUCCGACCCUGUGGAAGGGUAGCUCCACCUCGCCCAACCCCGAGUGAAGCUCCACUUCGCCCGACCCUGAGUCCUGGGGUUAGAGUAGUCGAAGCCCCCAUCAUGCAGGCUAAGCUUGUCUUGUAGUCCCGAGUGUCGAGUAGUCGUAGUGCUGUUUGAGUACUCGUCUUCAGAGGGACACGGGUGUACUGUACGCGGCUGUCCUUUGUUGAUGUACGAGUGUACUAUGCUCUGUUGUCCUUUGCGGAGGCACGGGUGUACUGUGCUCCUUUGUCUGUUGUAGCAUGAGUGCAGUCACAUGGGCAGAGUCAGGAGUUGUCAGACUCAUUGAUCACGGGUGCACGGUAACUCUUGGGCUGGUGGUAGUUGGAGCUUUCGGCUAUAAAUAGGGCCAUCUAGUGGGCGAGCCAACUCCAGCUUCUGAGUAGCAAUGGAUUGCCUGCGUUUGCUUCUGUUUGAGUGUAGAGAGCCAGCAAAGAGCGCACCGGUGCUAGAAGAUUCCUCGUAGAUUAAGGCCACCUUGCCUCCACAGGCUCUUGCGCUCGUAGGGAUAGCCGCGAUGCUAGAAGAAUCAUCAUAGGAGGGUUCAUCAAUUACCUCAUCUUGCAGCUACUGAUCCAGUGGAGUACGCAGUGGAACUCGUAGCGAGUGAUGGGUGAUGAGUGCCGCGGUCUUCAUCCCGCUCUGAAAGGUGGUGGAGGUGCGGCCGUAGAGUAGAUAGGCUUCGCAAGGCUGGCAAAAGAGCAGCCUUGGUUCCCUCUAGGCACGUCUUGCCGGAUUUGGCGUUGUCGUUGUCCUUGUGAUGGCGGUAAUGGAGUACCUGGACGUGCCUUGGGUAGGAUUGCUAGGCGUGACUGCGUUUUGCGCAGCUUCCUUGCGUGUAGGCCCUUCCUGUGGUCGGCAGACCUGAGUGGCCUUGUGAUAUAGUAAAAUCCUGAGGCUUAAAUGCAGCCCGCCAGUAGGCAAUUGCUUGUAGUCUUUGUUGAGCCGAGUCCUCGUACUCGUAUGUAACUUGAUGUACUCUUGUUUCAGUAAAGAUUGAUAUGAAGAGUUUGUAUCAGGGCAAGUGUCCUUGUUGUAUUGAUAGCGCGUUGAAGCGAACACCCCUUGAAGUCGGUACUCGAGUAGUCGUCCCGAGUAGUUGCCUUGAAGUGAGUACUCGAGCGCUGCUAUGGGUAAUAGCGACAAAGGUGUUCUAUAUUCCAGGAGUUUGGCACCUGUUCUCCUGAAAGCUCUUGGAGCCUGUAAGAUCCGAGUCCUGUAACCUUUGAUACGAUGUAAGGACCUUCCCACGGUGAAUUGAGUUUAUGCAAUCCUGACGUGUCUUGGAUACAUUUAAGGAUCAUAUCGCCCGAGUUGAAAGAUCUUUCCUUGACGUUGCGAUCGUGAUAACGCCUUAAACCGUCAAGGUAUCUGGCAGAUUGCACUGGUGUUGCGCAUCUUGUUUCUUCCAAACUGUCGAUAUCCGUUCGCCACGUUUCUAUUGCAAGCUCCUCGUCGUAUUGUUCAACGGAUGGUGAUUGCCACAUGAUGUCGGCGGGUAGUAUGGCUUCUAAGACAUAUACCAGAAAGUAAGGUGAUAGUCCCGUAGUUUUGCACGGUUGGGUACGUAGGCCCCAUAAGGCAUUGGGUAACUCUUUGAGUCAUCGGCCGCCUUUGGUGUUGCCAACGUCAUGUAGUCAAUUCUUCAGAGCAUCGAGUAUCAUGCCAUUAGCACGCUCGACUUGACCGUUGGCUCGCGGAUGAGCAACCGAGACAUAGCGGACGUCGAUGCCGCUGUUCUCGCAAUAUUCCCAGAAGUCAUGAUUGUUGAAGUUUGACCCGAGAUCUGUGAUAAUCCUGUUGGGAAAACCAUAGCGAUGUACGAUUUCAUCCAAGAAGUCGAGAACUCGGUCUGCCUUUGGUCAAGUGACUGGUUUGACCUCGAUCCACUUGGUGAACUUGUCAAUUGCCACGAGUACUCUGUUGAAUCCUCCUGGCGCAGUUGGUAACGGGCCAAUCAUGUCGAGCCCCCAGCAGGCAAAUGGCCAUGUUGGAGGUAUUGUGACUAGCUUGUAAGCUAGCACAUGUUGCUGUUUUGUGAAGAAUUGACAACCUUUGCAUCUCUGGACUAGUUGCUUGGCGUCGGCCAGAGCCAUUGGCCAGUAGAACCCUGCUCUGAAAGCCUUGCCGACUAGAGUCCUCGAAGAGGCGUGGUUGCCACAGAUUCCUUUGUGAAUUUCGUCUAGGAUUUCUUGGCCAUCUUCUCUAGUGAUGCACUUCAUGAGUACUCCAGAUGAUGCACCUUUCCUGUAAAGCUUAUCUCCGAGUAGAAUGUAAUUCUUUACUCGUCGGGAGAUUUGCACAGCUUGAUUCUUGUCGGAUGGUAGCUGGUGAUCUUUGAUGUAGUCGAUGAAGGGUAUCCGCCAAUCGAUUUCUAUCAUCAUGAUCUCUUGGGAGGCGUCAGUAGUCGGGACUACUGGCGAUGUGACCUGUUCAGGUAUGGAUGGCUUGCGUAGUUUGUGUACGAAAAUUUCUACUGGAACUUCUGCACGAGUUGAGCCCAUUUUGGAUAAGACGUCGGCGGCAACGUUGUUGUCGCGGACGAUGUGAUGGAACUCCAAGCCGGAGAAUUUGUUUUCCAACUUAUGGACUUCUUUGCAAUAAGCGUCCAUGAUGUCCUUGUUUCGGUCCCACUCGUCAUUGACCUGGUUUAUGACAACUAGGGAGUCGCCGUACACCAGUAGUCGUUUGAUACCGAGGGAGAUUGCAAGGCGAAGGCCAUGUAGCAGUACUCCGUACUCGGCUUCGUUAUUGGAUGCUUCCCAGAAUAUCUGCAGUACGUACUUGAGUUGGUCCCCCUUGAGGGAGAUGAGUAAGACGCCUGCGCCGGCCCCUUCAAGUUUGAGGGAUCCGUCAAAGUACAUUACCCACUGCUCUGGUCGUUCGACUGGAGUAGGAACUUGAUUUUCGGUCCACUCGGCUAUGAAGUCGACCAAAGCCUAAGACUUGAUGGCUGUCCUUGGCUUGAAGCUCAAAGUAAGAGCUCCGAGUUCGACUGCCCAUUUGGAGAUUCUACCCGUGGCAUCUCUGUUAUGGAGAAUUUCGCCAAGCGGGAAGUCGGAGAUGACUGUGAUGUUGUGCUCUUCGAAGUAAUGGCGCAGCUUCCGGGAGGUGAGAAGAAUAGCAUAUAAUAGCUUUUGUAUCGGUGAAUACCGAGUUUUGGAGUCCGAGAGUACUUCACUGACGAAGUAGACAGGUCGUUGGACCUUAUAAGCGUGGCCCAGUUCAGACCGUUCGACUACUAUUGCCGUGCUGACGACAUGAGUAGUAGCAGAGAUGUAUAGGAGCAAAUCCUCGUUCGGCGAGGGAGCGGUGAGUACAAGAGGCUUUGACAGAAAGUCUUUGAGUUGUGUGAAAGCCUUGUCUGCCUAUUCCGUCCAUUUGAACUUGUCCUGGCGUUUGAGAAGCUUGAAGAAGGGUAGACCCCGUUCUCCAAGUCUCGAGAUGAACCGGUUGAGAGCGGCCAUGCAGCCUGUAAGUUUCUGCACAUCCUUAAUGCUGGUAGGAGCCUGCAUGUUUGUGAUGGCAGAUAUCUUCUCCGGGUUGGCCUCAAUGCCGCGAUGGCUAAUGAUGAACCCGAGUAAUUUGCCGGAAAGUACUCCGAAGACGCACUUAGAAGGAUUGAGUUUCCAUCGGAAAGCGUGGAGACUGGUGAAAGUUUCCUCCAAGUCGGCAAUGAGUUCCUCCCGGUGUCUUGUUUUGACGACGACGUCGUCAACGUAAGCUUCGACAUUGCGAUGAAGUUGUUUUUCAAAACACAUCUGUAUGGCCCUUUGGUAAGUUGCUCCUGCGUUCUUGAGUCCGAAGGACAUUGUUUUGUAGCAAAAAGCUCCAAAGGGCGUGAUGAAUGCUGUUUUGGCCUGGUCUUCCUCUUUGAGGCUUAUCUGAUGAUAGCCGGAGUAGCAAUCAAGGAAGCAUCGCAAGGCGCACCCAGCGGUGGAGUCGACCACUUGAUCUAUCCUGGAUAACCCAAAAGGGUCUUUCGGGCAGUGUUUGUUGAGGUCGGUGUAGUCGACACACAUUCUCCAUUCGUUGUUUUACUUACGAACGAGCACAGGAUUGGCGAGCCAGUCAGGAUGGAAGACUUCCUUGAUGAAUCCUGCCACGAGUAGCUUAGCUAACUCUUUUUUGAUGGCGUCGCGUCUGUCCUGAGCGAACCGGCGUAGUCGUUGCCGUUUUGGAGUAGCUUUGGGAUUGACGUUGAGGGAAUGCUCGAUCAGUUCCUUGGGCACACCUGGCAUGUCGGCCGGCUUCCAAGUGAAGAUAUCGUGGUUAGCCCGAAGGAAACUGACGAGCGCGAAUUCCUAUUUAGGAUCCAGCCCUGUUCCGAUUAGGGCUGUCUUGGAGGGAUCGCCGGUCUGGAGGUCGAACAAUUUGAAGUCUUGCUCGCUGGCGGGUUUCACCUUUGUGGAGCCUGACUUGUUUUCCGGGAUCUCGAGUUCAGUUGGAUGGAGUUUCUUUGAAGCUGUGAAGACUUGCUGCAUGGGACUAGGAGAUUGAGUAGUCGCGGCAAUUUCCACGACUUCGGUGUCGCACUCGUAGGAUCUCCGAAGAUCUCCUCGUAGCGUGAGCUCUCCUUUGGGACCUGGCAUCUUGAGUACCAGGUAGACAUAAUGUGGUAUGGCCAUAAACUUGGCUAGUGCUGGCCGUCCGAGUAUAGCAUGAUAAGAAGUCUCGAAGUCGGCGACCUCGAAUCUGAUGUACUCGGUGCGGUAAUGUUCCUUAGUUCCGAAGGUGACUGGGAGGACAACUUGUCCUAGUGGUAUGGCCGCGUUUCCGGGCACAAUACCGUAGAAAGGUGAAUCCGUUGGAGUAAGAAUGUCCGUGAUGUCGAGGCACAUUUUCCUUAAUGUUUUGGCGAAGAUAACGUUGAGGCCGCUCCCGCCAUCGAUGAGUACUUUGGUUAACUUUGAACCUACCACAACUGCAUCCAAAACUAGUGGAAAACGGUCGGGUUCUGAAAAUUUUGUUCAUUGAUCCUUUCUGCUGAAAGAAAUUGGAACUUCCGACCACUUUAGCGGUGUGGGGUCCAUCGGCUCGACGGCCAUGAUCUCCCUGAGUAUGAGUUUGUUGGCUUGCUUGGAUGCUGUACCAGGGAUGCCACCAAAAAUGACGUUGACGGUUUUUGAGGCUGGUUGGAAAUCGCCGUCUUCAUCUUCGUCGUUGCGGGCUUUGUUUUUACCCUUGUCUCUGUUUUUGGCGUACUCUUCAGGAGUUGGUGGUGCCGGCAAGUCUUGCAUGACCCGGCGCAUGUUGUAACAGUCCAAUGCGGAGUGCUUGCUAGUCGGGUGCCAUGGGCACUGUUUUUUGAGUAGCUCCGUGAAGGUUGGUCCGUCGUCAUUUCUGCGCUGUCCCUUUUUCCCGGAGCUGGUCAUGGCAGCAACAGUGUUGUCGGGCUUCCUUUUGCGAUUAUGAUUACCUGGAUAGGAAUUCCGAGCAUCGUUAUGAUGAUUUUUAUCUGUGUCAUUAUUGUGGGUGUUGUCGCGUCCGCGGUUACGGUGGGAACCAAACCGUUCGCGCUCUUUGUCUUCUUCAUCAGCCCACUGUUGGACCAUGAGUUUGAGUUCUUUGACAUCGGCUGGCCGUCGGCGACCGAAGUCUUGGUAUGUUCGUCGAUCGUAGAGUCCGUUUUGGAAGCACUCAAUGACAUCUGUUUCGGAGAUGUCCACUAUGGUAGCCUUCUUUUCAAAGAACCGUCGCAGGUAGUCGCGAAGGGUCUCGCCCUCUUUUUGCUUAAUUUGUUGUAAGUCAAUCUUGUUGCCUGGUCUAGCCAUGGAGCCAGCAAAGUUGUUGGUAAAAGCCUUUGUCAAGUCUGCCCAAGAGUCGAUGGACUUGGGUUUGAGCAACUCGAGCCAAGUCAGUGGUACGGGUUCCAUGCAUAUGGGGAAAUGAAUGACUUUGGUGUCGUUGUUGCCUCCGGCUGCUUGGACGGCUAGCGAGUAACAGCGGAUCCAUUGAACUGGAUCUUGCUUGCCAUCGUACUUGGUAAUGCCGGUCGGUUUGAACUUUUUGGGUAAUUUUGUUUUCAUUACCCGGUUUGUGAAAGCAGGAAAGUGGUUGUAGCUGUCGACUUCACGUUCGCGCCGACUGUUGAGGAUUUCUCGUAGGUCGCUGAUGUUGGAUAACUCGCGGUUCUUCCGAGUAGGGCGAACACUUUUAACCGAGUUGGUGCAGCUGGCUUCACCCACAUCCUCUAUUGAGUAGGAGCUUUAUGCUUGCUUGGACCUUGGCUGUGUUGCUGGGGUUGGUUGACUGCAUCAUCGUUUCGUGGGGCGACAUUUUUAUCUGCAGCCCCCCUGCUUCCGUCUGUAAUGCGAGGAACGGACGGGAUUGGUGAUUCUUUGUCAAGCAGCUUGUAAGCUUGCUCCGCGAGUUGUGCGAUUAGUCCGUUGCCCCGCUGCACGAGUUGAGCUGUGGCUGGAUUAUCCUUAUCUUGAGGCAUCAGAGUUAUCAAAAUGUUGAUUGAAGCGAUAGCCGCGAGUGGAGUAUUGUGCUCCUGAGCCUGGACUGCGUUGAAAACCCGUUCAAGAUUUGUAAUAGGGAUAUUUGUAGCCAUCGACUGUCGACGCUCAGCUCGAGAGGCAUUGCGCGCCCUUCGUUGGUUGCGCUGUUCGGGAGUUUCAUUGUCAGCUGUAGACUCAUCGUCAGAGAUGUUGUCGACUUGUGCUAGUCGCCUGGGGGUUCUAUUCUGGCUAGUACUCGGGUUGUUAACCGGAGUAAUAACAAGUAUUUCCCUAUCCGGGUAGUAGCUUCCGGAACUUGAUGUAGCAAUCUCUGUGUAGCUUCCUUCGUGGUUGGGUGUAAGUGGAACGCCUUCUUGGUACGACAGGUUGUCUAUAUGGGUGACGAGACGCGAGUCGUAGUCGCGGUCGAGGAAAGAUGGUCGCAUUCCCGGCCAGUGGACGAAUCUGCCUUGUGGUGUCGAUGUUAUUACCAACCCUUGGGCUGGGUCAGAUAAUGGUAUUUCCGGUGAGUAAGAUGAAUCGGAGUCAACGUCCUCGUCAUGCCCGAGUUCAACUCGGGUUAGAGCAAGAAAAUCUUGGUAGACUUUUGUCGCGUUGCGAAGUCCGUGCGGGAACCACUUUGAAGUCGAGACCGAUUUGGAUGCUGACUCGGGCUGCCGAAUCCGAAGCGAGUCCGACCCUGAGUCCAAGGGUCGGCUGAGCCCGACCCUGUGAGGGAGUAGCUCUGCCUUGCCCGACCCUGAGUGGAAGUCCGCCUCGCCCGACCCUGAGUCCUGGGGUCGGGAGCGCCGGACCCUUUGGAGGAGUAGCUCCGCCUCGCCCGACCCCGAGUUUUUUGGAGGUGGUCUUUUAUGCGGUAAGGGUCGUCGAGAAUCAAGGAAUCAAUGGUGACGCAAGGAAUAGGAUUUAGACAGGUUCGGGCCGCUAGAUCGCGUAAUACCCUACGUCCUGUGUGUUGGUUUGUAUUGAUGUAUGUUCUGGUCCUGAGGAUCGUUGUUUGAGGGGGGUCCCUGCCCGGCCUUAUAUACACGGGAGGGCAGGGUUACAAGUCUGAGUCCUACUCGGGUACUAUUACAGAGUUCUACUCGGUACCAGCCCGAGUAGUUUUCCAUAAACAUACAAGACUAGUCCGAGUAGGAUACGCCCAUCCUUGUUCUGAUCAUGUCCGAGUACAUCCCUUAGUGGACCGUCCGAGGCCUACUCGUGGGUCUGGGGAGUAGUCCCGACAGUAAGGUCAUUAAGUAUCAACAUAAGAACAAGGUGACGAAAUAACCUCCAAGUUGUUGCAUGUCAGGUCACAUUCAACAUGAACCCAAAUAUGGCACUCAUCACAACAGACUUGGCAAGAAGUUGCCUUGUAGCUUGCAGGUCAGGACAAAGAAAAUUCAAGAGGUCAUGUGCAACCAAAUCUUCUAAGCCCUUACCCAGUUUCCGCCAUCUGUGUGGUGCCAAAUUUUCUUACAUAUGCUAUAGUAUUGUUUCAUCGCCAUAUACAGAGAAGUAAAUAUUAUACACAUAAGUCGCAAAAAGGAAGGAAAGCUGUGGAAGUCACGCCUGAAAGAUAAGAAAUACUCAAAACUGUGCUACGUUCUAAAAAUGGUAUGGGACUUCUCUUGAGCAAUUAACCAAAUAGAUUGCGAGUGUUCACAGUACAUUUGAGAAAUACUAAAAACUGAGGAUUUUUGGUCUUGAGGGCACAAUACAGGGGGCAUCGAUGUUGCAGAAGCUGCCAUUGCAUCUCAACUGCAUCAAUUUUCAAUGGUAAGAUGGAUGGCCCUGCAAUAGAAAUAACAAUGAUUACUCAUAGAACAAAGUGAUUACAUGGGCAUUUCGUCGAACACUUGGUAUAAUGAUUAACUCACAUACCCAAGCGGAAACAACACAGAAGGGAAAGCAGCAAAGCAAUCAAGAAGAAGACAAAUUGAGCGGAAGGAACUUACCGUGGACUAUAUACACGACGGACCGCGUUUUUUGAUGACGGACCGCGUUUUUUGUCCACUUUGCUUUUUAUAUAUACAUGACAACUAUUGGUUUUUUCUGUGUACUAGCAAAUAUGCCCAUGCGUUGCAACGGGAGAAAGAAAAUUAUGGCACAGCGGUAACUCAAUAAAUAUGUACAAAACUCAAAUGAUAAAUUAUAUUUUAUACUUCACAUGAAUUAUUUAUAAUAUAUAAUUUGAGGUCCACAUAUACAAUGCAGGUGUAUGUCAGAGUCAAGAGGUAUAAGUGGUGACACCAAUAUUAGUACAUUAGCGAUAUUGGUUGGUUUACUUUGCUUGCGCUUGUUUUUUUUGAAAUCUGGAUUUAUAUUAAAUAAAUAAAAGUUUUGAAUGACUCAUGGACUGCUGGGUAUGCCGAGCAUUAACGAGACUGAACUUUUUUUUAAGACCAAACUUCGUACGCAUGGGCCAUAGGCCGUUCCAAGCAGAAGCGAGUCCCCUAUAUCUGUCUAUUGCUGCUGCCCCUUCAUCGCACAGCUCACAUGCGCUCAGGGUCCAGAACCAGGCAACCUCUCGCAUCGCUCAGCCUUAUCCUCCCAGUCCCAGCGCUCAUUCCCUCUGUUGCGUUCAUCUCACCCACCUGCAUCUCUCUCUGUGUCCCCUAUGGCUUGUUGAGCUCGAGUGUGCCUCGUCCUUGCGAGGGAGGCCUCCGGCGAUCGCACGAGCUUCUUGACCAAAAGCGUAGCAGCGCGCGAGCCUGCCCAUGGCAGCGCACGAUGGAGAGGAUGCUGGCACCGGUUCCAUGGACAUGCAUGUUCGCCUUAGCUUCAAAUCCGGGUCGGUGAUGUGGUCCUUUUUUUCUUGAUUCCGAAGAUUUAUGGAUUGCUCCGUGGAUUCAUCUUGUAGAUUUGUUCUCUGAUUUUUCUUGAUGUCGGAGGAUGAUGGCGUCGAUGUCGGAGGACGGCGGGAGGUCGUCGGUGGACAUGGGGUGGAGGGCAAAGGUGGAAACCGGCCGCAGGCCCCGGAUCCGGACGGAGCGGCGGCGGGAUGUCGACGGUGGAGAUGGGAUGGAGGGCGAAGGUAGGAACUGGCCUCCGGCCUCGGAGCCGGACGGAGCGGCGGCGUCUCGAUCCCCCGAGGUAGGGGCCCGGAGCUGGACGGAGCGGUGGCAUCUUAAUCCCCCGAGGGAGGGGCCGGAGCCGAGGGAGGAGCCCAGAGCCGAACGGAGUGGGGAGAACAAAACUAUUGCUCUGUGAUUUUCUUUCUGCUUCAAAAGAACAUAACAUCUGACAAGACUAGAUGGAUACAGCAGUAAAAGCAGAUGCUGGACUACAGUAGUCUUAAAUGGGCUGGCCAUAUGAGUUCAUGAUGACUUGUAUAUGCUAGGUUAAUGAUCUUUUUUUUCUCGAAAAGCUAGGUUAAUGACUUUAUCAGGAAUUGAGCCUAGCUCAACUUCUUCGGGAAUGGGGUGACUGAUGUGGUUGUGAACCCCAACCACCCGCGUCCGAGUCCUCUGCAACUUGAAUUCGGGUUGGGUCUCGGAUGACUUUAUCAGGGAGAGUUGCUCUCCAUUCUAUCUUAUUUGUUUCUACACAAAUGCCUUAUUAUCAUGGUAACAUGAAAUGUGUUUUUGUUUUACUUUUCCAUUAAGUAAGCUUCCUACCAACUUUGUGUGGAAUAUUGAGCACCGCUUUUUGGUACUUACACUCUAUCUCAUUGAACAGUGACAACCGCCAAGUUUCAGGAAAGGUUCUUGUCUAUAAACAUCCUGGGUUACACUUCGGCGAUAUACAUAAGUUGACAGCAACACAUAUUGAUGGUCUGGAGGAAAUUGUGGGGGAUUCCAAAUAUGAUAUAUUUUUCCAACCUCUGGAUCACGGUCUUUGGCUGAUGAAAUGGCCAAUAGCGAUUUUGAUGGAGACAUGUAUUGGGUCUCAUGGAACUCACAGGUUGCUUUUGUUUCAAACAAUUUACCAUUUAUAGUGAACUGUUCAUGCAUCUUUUUACAUAGCAAUUGACUGGGGUUUUAGAAAACACCAUGAAAUUAGUUUCACACGGUCCCAACUAUAGAAGGAGUGCUAUAAUCAACCCAUAUCUCUUGAUCCUUCUUGCUGACUUACAUUAGCCAAUUCACAGUUUAAUGAUAAAUCUCCAAUUCCCCAUGUUGUAACUUCCCUUCUGUUACUUCAAGCAUCUUGAACUUUAAUACUACAUGAAUGUGCACUUUUCAUUAGGAAAACCUUUAUGUUUGAAAAGCUGGAUCCAAGUCGGAUUCCCGCAUUGUUACCUCAAAGAUCAAGUGACUAAGCAACUUCCAAGUUGUUGAGCUUUAGAACCUUGUUACUCCAUGCUGUCCUCAAUUGUCUGUGGUGGGUGGCUGCUGAGGAGAUGCAAUGGCUGAGGCCCCACGAUGGUGGGGGCUAAGAAGUAGGUGAACAGGGACCCAUGAGUAGAAGAGAGAUGAGAGAAGCAGCAACAGUAGUAUCUCACUGUUGAGAUCCUCUGCCCUGCUUUUGUCUCCAAAGCUUUUACACUGCUAGAGUCCACUUGCUACUCGCCCACUCACCUCGAUAUCUGUCAUUACCUCCUCAGCCACGGCAGGUAGCAAAGUGCAGGGAGGGAGAAUAGAGCGGUGCCAAAGCUCAUUUGACCACUAAUAUGUGGGACCUGCUUGCAUCUGUCCAUAGACAAAGGGAUGUCAAGGAGCCUUAUUUUCUGCAACAAGUUCCUCUGAACCUUGAGAUUAAGAAAAAAAAGAAGGAAUUAUAAAAGAAUAGCCUUCUUUAACUUGCCAAGUGAGUGAAACUAGAGUGCUCUGGGGAAUCUUGAGUUUUAUAGUUUGUUCAUUGCACAGUCCAUUGCUUUUUGUUAGUUUAACUAGUUUAUAAUAGAUUUUCUUCUGCAAUUUAUUUUGGAGCACUCAUUUAGCGUCAGUAUGUUUUGAUAUGACAAUGCAUUCGGAUGUGUUCUUUCUCUCUGUGCAGAAUUGUUACUAUGAUUGCAAAAUUUACCUUUUCAGUUACUGAAGCACUUCGAACCUGGUAAACCAUGGGAGCAUAGAAACCCACCAAAAAAAUACUAAACAGAAGAAGCCUCAGGAUUAUGAUGGAUCUAAGCUGGAAAGCUUGUUGGUCUCUGAGUUUUUGAGGGCUAGAUUCUCGCCAAGGUAUUAACGUAUGAGGCUAGUUACUGCUGUACCCUAUAGUUCUGUUGGCAUUUUUAUUUGCCACUAGGCUGGAGGUCUGUGAGUUUUUGAGGGCUAGAUUCUCGCCAAGGUAUUAACGUAUGAGGCUAGUUACUGCUGUACCCUAUAGUUCUGUUGGCGUUUUUAUUUGCCACUAGGCUGGAGGUCGUCUUAACAUCAAAGUGUUUACUAAUGCAUUCUAAUGAAGAACAUGAUUUUCUAUUCUAAUUAACAACUUUUUUUUGCCCUUCAGUUAUGUGCUAGGUACAUCUGCAAAUUGUUGGUUGACACUCAUGGAUCGGCUGUUGACACCUGGAGUUUCUCAGAGUGAAAAGGAUUUAAUAAAGAUCAAUAUGCUUGAGUUGGUUGACAUUUACUAUUGGGCCUUGAAUGCCCCGAAGAAUGGGAAUAAGGUUGUUUCCAAUCAUGGGCUUAUAUGUUUCUAUAGAUCAGCUAUAGUUGUUUUAAACUUUCCGUAUGCUACUAGUAAUUGGUAUGUGGUUAAUCAUCCAAAAUGGUAUACCAAAAUCCUAUGCUGGCAUUUCUUAGUGAUAGGACUCUGAGUAAUAUCCAAAAUUCUGGAUGCUUAGAACCUUCUGUUCUUCUAAAAAUAACAACACGCAGUAAAUUUUUGAAACAGUGAAUAGGCUGAACUUGGUUCCACCUGUUACUGACUGACUAUUAUCAACAAGUUCUUAUGAAUUUAUUUGUAUGAACAAUCUUGACCGUGUCCUAAUCCAAAAAAUUCAAGAUAUUGCCAGUAUGAGCAUUCUAUAUUCAAUCUCAUAUAUUCCAAGUUUCAUGCCCAGUCUAACCCGGACCAUAUAAGCUUUAUAAGGAAGCCACCCUAGGUCUAAAAAUCCUUAACCUCGAGAAGUCGUCCAAGCGCGAGGUCAACCUUAGCCUCACGUCGCUACCAAAAACCCACUCUCGAAGCUGGAGGACGACCAAUGAGCAUCUAACACUGAUAAAACUUACCCUUGACCGCUCGAAGCUAACCCCGAGCAGUGAGUUGUUUAUUGUCUCUUGCAGGGUUGAGCAAGCUAAGGGUUAGGGCACGAGGCUAAUAUCUCUUCGGUACGAGGCUGAGAAGGUUUGGUGGACCGAAGUUAAGCUGGAUUCGGGUGCGAGGUCAAAGGCGUGAAGGUGUAGAAAACGUGAAGCCAUGGUUCGCGGGUCCGUCUGAGAGCGUGAUUCACAGGACUGUCUGGAGGCGUGAAGAGCGUGACUCGACGGAGGAGACCAAGUCGCACAAGUUAUCUCCAAAAGACCUUUAUGUAUAGCAUAUUCUUGGAAUGUAGUGUUUGAGUAAAGUAAUUGAGGAAUGUAAAGUGCCCUCCAAGACACUAUAAAAGGAGAGCUCUACCCCGAUGUAAAGAUGCACAUUUAUCUUGAAACUAAAAUACAAGCGAUACUCUAAUUCAGUUGCAUUCGAGCCUUUUAAAGAUUCGUUUCCCAACAGAGUGUAUUCCAUGAGCAAGCAAAAAGUAGCAACUUACUGAUUGGAGGAGCAGUUUCAGACUGUUGUGAUUUCGCUUGAUCAUAGAUCUCAACCAGCAAUGAUGUUGAAUGGUAGGAAGGUUCCCGUUCCAAGAAGUGUGGGUACUUCUUGACCAUCAGUUACUGAGGAAUUAUGAUCUGUUUUGAAGAUAGAUGGAUUAAAUACCUCUAUUUGCCAAGAUACAAGUUUUCUGUAACUUAUUCUCAAAUUAAACAAUCUAAGGCUGGCAUCCAAGCAUAAUGUUAGUCAACUGGAUCCAUAAUGUUGAAGAAUACUUUGCAAUGCCAACAUAACAUGGUAUCCAACCACAGUUUUCAAAAAAACAUGGUAUCCAACUUGGAGCAUAAGGAUCAUCUUUUUUAUCAAAUCACUAUGGCCACGAUUUUAUACUAAUGUCCUUCAAGUUUUACAUGGGAAAAUACUUGGGGAGGCACAAAUUAAAACACAAAAUGCAUAUAAAAUUUGCUCAUUUUCGACUGGGCAUGAAACUUGGAAUAUAUGAGAUUGAAGAUAGAAUGCUCAUAUUGGCAAUAUCUUGAAUUUUCUGGAUUAGGACACGGUCAAGAUUGUUCAUACAAAUAAAUUCAUAAGAACUUGUUGAUAAUAGUCAGUCAGUAACAGGUGGAACCAAGUUCAGCCUAUUCACUGUUUCAAAAAUUUACUGCGUGUUGUUAUUUUUAGAAGAACAGAAGGUUCUAAGCAUCCAGAAUUUUGGAUAUUACUCAGAGUCCUAUCACUAAGAAAUGCCAGCAUAGGAUUUUGGUAUACCAUUUUUGAUGAUUAACCACAUACCAAUUACUGGUAGCAUACGGAAAGUUUAAAACAACUAUGGCUGAUCUAUAGAAACAUAUAAGCUCAUGAUUGGAAACAACCUUAUUCCCAUUCUUCGGGGCAUCCAAGGCCCAAUAGUAAAUGUCAACCAACUCAAGCAUAUUGAUCUUUAUUAAAUCCUUUUCACUCUGAGAAACUCCAGGUGUCAAUAGCCGAUCCAUGAGUGUCAACCAACAAUUUGCAGAUGUACCUAGCACAUAACUGAAGGGCAAAAAAAAGUUGUUAAUUAGAAUAGAAAAUCAUGUUCUUCAUUAGAAUGCAUUAGUAAACACUUUGAUGUUAAGACGACCUCCAGCCUAGUGGCAAAUAAAAACGCCAACAGAACUAUAGGGUACAGCAGUAACUAGCCUCAUACGUUAAUACCUUGGUGAGAAUCUAGCCCUCAAAAACUCACAGACCUCCAGCCUAGUGGCAAAUAAAAACGCCAACAGAACUAUAGGGUACAGCAGUAACUAGCCUCAUACGUUAAUACCUUGGCGAGAAUCUAGCCCUCAAAAACUCAGACCUCCAGCCUAGUGGCAAAUAAAAACGCCAACAGAACUAUAGGGUACAGCAGUAACUAGCCUCAUACGUUAAUACCUUGGCGAGAAUCUAGCCCUAAAAAACUCACAGACCAACAAGCUUUCCAGCUCAGAUCCAUCAUAAUCCUGAGGCUUCUUCUGUUUAGUAUUUUUUUGGUGGGUUUCUAUGCUCCCAUGGUUUACCAGGUUCGAAGUGCUUCAGUAACUGAAAAGGUAAAUUUUGCAAUCAUAGUAACAAUUCUGCACAGAGAGAAAGAACACAUCCGAAUGCAUUGGCAUAUCAAAACAUACUGAUGCUAAAUGAGUGCUCCAAAAUAAAUUGCAGAAGAAAAUAUAUUAUAGACUAGUUAAACUAACAAAAAACAAUGGACUGUGCAAUGAACAAACUAUAAAACUCAAGAUUUCCCAGAGCACUCUAGUUUCACUCACUUAGCAAGUUAAAGAAGGCUAUUCUUUUAUAAUUCCUUCUUUUUUUCUUAAUCUCAAGGUUCAGAGGAACUUGUUGCAGAAAAUAAGGCUCCUUGACAUCCCUUUGUCUAUGGACAGAUGCAAGCAGGUCCCACAUAUUAGUGGUCAAAUCAGCUUUGGCACCGCUCUGUUCUCUCUCCCUGCACUUUGCUACCUGCCGUGGCUGAGGAGGUAAUGACAGAUAUCGAGGUGAGUGGGCGAGUAGCAAGUGGACUCUAGCAGUGUAAAAGCUUUGGAGACAAAAGCAGGGCAGAGGAUCUCAACAGUGAGAUACUACUGUUGCUGCUUCUCUCAUCUCUCUUCUACUCAUGGGUCCCUGUUCACCUACUUCUUAGCCCCCACCAUCGUGGGGCCUCAGCCAUUGCAUCUCCUCAGCAGCACAUCAUCUGUUCUCUCCGCUCAACAUGCCACCCACCGCAAACAAUUGAGGACAGCAUGGAGUAACAAGGUUCUAAAGCUCAACAACUUGGAAGUUGCUUAGUCACUUGAUCUUUGAGGUAACAAUGCGGGAAUCCGACUUGGAUCCAGCUUUUCAAACAUAAAGGUUUUCCUAAUGAAAAGUGCACAUUCAUGUAGUAUUAAAGUUCAAGAUGCUUGAAGUAACAGAAGGGAAGUUACAACAUGGGGAAUUGGAGAUUUAUCAUUAAACUGUGAAUUGGCUAAUGUAAGUCAGCAAGAAGGAUCAAGAGAUAUGGGUUGAUUAUAGCACUCCUUCUAUAGUUGGGGCCGUGUGAAACUAAUUUCAUGGUGUUUUCUAAAACCCCAGUCAAUUGCUAUGUAAAAAGAUGCAUGAACAGUUCACUAUAAAUGGUAAAUUGUUUGAAACAAAAGCAACCUGUGAGUUCCAUGAGACCCAAUACAUGUCUCCAUCAAAAUCGCUAUUGGCCAUUUCAUCAGCCAAAGACCGUGAUCCAGAGGUUGGAAAAAAUAUAUCAUAUUUGGAAUCCCCCACAAUUUCCUCCAGACCAUCAAUAUGUGUUGCUGUCAACUUAUGUAUAUCGCCGAAGUGUAACCCAGGAUGUUUAUAGACAAGAACCUUUCCUGAAACUUGGCGGUUGUCACUGUUCAAUGAGAUAGAGUGUAAGUACCAAAAAGCGGUGCUCAAUAUUCCACACAAAGUUGCUAGGAAGCUUACUUAAUGGAAAAGUAAAACAAAAACACAUUUCAUGUUACCAUGAUAAUAAGGCAUUUGUGUAGAAACAAAUAAGACAGAAUGGAGAGCAACUCUCCCUGAUAAAGUCAUCCGAGACCCAACCCGAAUUCAAGUUGCAGAGGACUCGGACGCGGGUGGUUGGGGUUCACAACCACAUCAGUCACCCCAUUCCCGAAGAAGUUGAGCUAGGCUCAAUUCCUGAUAAAGUCAUUAACCUAGCUUUUCGAGAAAAAAAGAUCAUUAACCUAGCAUAUACAAGUCAUCAUGAACUCAUAUGGCCAGCCCAUUUAAGACUACUGUAGUCCAGCAUCUGCUUUUACUGCUGUAUCCAUCUAGUCUUGUCAGAUGUUAUGUUCUUUUGAAGCAGAAAGAAAAUCACAGAGCAAUAGUUACGUUCUCUAAAAAUGAUACGAAGCAAAAAAAAAUGUGUUCCUUACAAUAUCCAUGCAAGAAAAUGUAGAACCCUCUAGUCAUAGGUUUCAUUACAAUUCAACCUUAGGGCAUUAAUGAAGUUUCUGAUGCAAUUGGGAAGUCAGAGGCAAUUAAUUUGUUUUCGUAUUUCUACUAAAAUAAAAUUGUAAAACAUGACCCAACCCAUAGAAAGUAAGAAACCCAAGCAUUAUAAAUAUUGCUAAACUAUUCAAUUCUUAUAUCUGAAAAUAAUCAAGGAGCAUCAGAAAAACAUGUACCAAAGCAAAUUCAAACGAUAUGGUGGAUAUUCCUGCCACUUACUGUAUCACACGAACUUGGUCUGGUUUCAGGGCCCCUGUGGGAUCAGUUGUGCCCAUUAGAUAAUAACAAUCAUCAAUCGGUAUCUUUCCCUGUCGGAAACCUUUUCUUUCUUCUUUGGUCAUUAUAUCUAGCUGGAAUUGCAAAAGUGCCUCAUCCUCUGGCUGAAUUCCAGCAAGGAUCAUUCGUCCAGACAUUAAAUCAUCCAUGUCAGCAUGGUUUAAUGCAACUGCAAAAGGUAUCAAGUUAAUGAAAAAUUGAAAAGAAAAUAGCCAAGGGUCAAAUGUUACUAGCUGAAUGAUUGAACUAUGUUAUUAAGAAUAGCAAAUAGCUGGAGAGCGACAACCGAACAUUCAUAGAAUCCCAAACCGACCUUCCAGCGAGUCCCCAGCUUUAUUAAGAACCUUAUUGGCAUCUUCUAUUGCCUUCCCUAGAAGCUCCAUAGAAUACUCAGCUGGAACGCCUCCAUAAUGAAGCAGUGCGAUUAAGAACCUCGAUGUAUAUGCCUUUCUAGGCCGGUUGCUGAAAUGAUGCAAUAAAAGUAAGUGCUGUUGAUGUGUUUACCAAAAAGGAAAGGAAUCCAAUAUCUGUAUAAAACCAUAAAUUGAUGAUAGAAUGAGUGGAGUUGCUUUGAAAUCUUUUGGAUUAGUUGGAACUUCGAAUUAGAUCUAACGUUCUAGAUCAAAAUCCUUCCUAUGCAAAUAGCAUCUGAGGAAGAUGGCUCCAACAUUUUACCAUUUAAAAAUAAAGACAUGUUUGCUGAUAAUCAGUGACCAAGCAUGCACCUUAACCUUAGCUCUUCGGUAAACUUGCUUUAUGCUACAAAGUAUUUGGAGAAAUGGACAGAACAUUUCAUUUGAUGAGAAUGUGUAUUCAAAGAUUUUGCAGAGAAGUGCAGAGUAAAAUGGAAAAGGUAACUGCUCAUUCCUAGCAAACAUAUGUAGUUCUUUAUCAUACCUUGUAGUAUCUACUUCGAACGAGUUAAAUGACUGCCCGCCUGAUGAAUUGGAAUCAGCAUUUAUCUUUAUCAUUGAUGGUCUAAUAUGAAUGGUUUUAUCAGGAAGCUGCAACAUAGAAAAAAUGAACUUUUACUGAUUCUGCACAAAGGAUUGAGUUGAGAGAAUUGGCAGCAACAAAUUCAGCAGAAAUUUUAUGGUUGUAAAGGAUAACAUGCUUUCAAACAGUAAACAGAAUUUAAAAAUGAAUUUUGUGGGUAUCAUUUAAUUGAAUAUUCCAAUAUGGUCAAUAACACCACAAUCCAGUCAUAAUAUACUGUCAAGAUAGAGGUAUCACAUUAACACAAAAGAUAUCAGCAGAACUGAUAAAUAAGCAAGAUCUAACUAAGAUAAGCCUCAAAGCAACCACUUUAUAAAUCUGCUAAACCAAGACAAGCCUGCUAAAUUGGUCCAACCAUGCAAAUUGAUAAAACAUACCCUUUUAUCAGCUAGAACGGUUCCCUUUACUGCAUUUCCAUUAUAGAACAUACAGAACUGUAUUAGAAGAGGCUAGAGUAAAGAAAAACAAAGAGAAGAAAUAAGAAUUCAUUAGUUAAAUCGUAGAGCACUUUAGAAAUAACAGGUCAUUCUAUUUUACAGUUCAGGGAAUACAUAUGAGAUGAGAUAUCGAUGCUUCUCAGAAUCCACUGUAUCCUGUGAGGGCAUAACCAAAGUUAAUAAUGAGUACACAAGACUGAUGAUACAACAAUGGUAGAUUCAGGAAGGUCAGUGUUAACUAGAGAUAUAGCAUACAUAAGUGUAGGUGAUAAAUUGCAUUAGGGUACAAUAUUUAAAGUAAUGCCCUUCCUUAUAAUGGAUUAAUAGGGAAAAAAGCAACUAAACUGAGCAAAACAAAUAGUACUAGAACACAACCAAUCUUCAUACUAAGUGACACAAGAAGAGUGGGUAGCAAAUUGAUGAACAUUUAUGGAAUGGUGGACAGGUGAAGAGGAGGGAGGGAGAGGGGGGAGGAGGGCACCUGCAGCUCAUGUCCCUUCAAAAAGUUUCCCUUGAAGACACUGACUGGGCAUUUUAUAGCUAAAUCAAAUGAUAUUAGGCCGGUCCCGUCAGUGUGUAUUAAGGGCUUCCCAUCAUCAUCAGGAACGAUGUUUCCAUGUUCAUCCUGAAACAUUCUGCCCAAAAUAAAUAAUAUAUUCAAGAAGCCAGCCUUGAAACAUCAGAGGAAAGAAAUGCAUACCUUGCAGGGUUUGUCUUCAAUUAUGAUAACAUUAAUCUCCGAGAAGUUAACAUCUAAUGUGACAGUUUUGGAUAAUAUCAACGCAAACCUGUAUCAUUCCCACAAAAGAGCACAUAAAUUUUAAUAAAAACAUUGGAGAAUGGGGUAUUGGUGACAGCCAUAAACUAGGACAGAAGGAUGUCCAGCAUCAUAACAUUCAACAUGAAGUAAAAUGGAGAGACUUUAAAAUAGAAAAGAAGGUUUUCUCACUUGCACAAAUGUUAAAGGUAUCACCAAAUCUAAUCAAACUUCAUGUUUUCAUUGCAAAUCACUGAUCUCCUAUAAUAUAUUCCUAACAGUAUUCAUCAAUUACCAUUUUGCUUGGUAAUAUACCAAGUGUAAAUAAGAAAGUUAACCUGGCCAGAUAUUUUGACACAGUGGGAGCAUUGUGUAUGUCCAUAAAGCGCCUACGAGCUUGAUCGAUUGUGCAACCAGACUCGAUGUGAACAAAAUAGCACCUAAAAGAAGGUCUGAAUUUCUUGUUUUUCGCUUUAUUUUUUUCCUCCUUUUGUUUCUCCUCCUUCCCUCCAUCUUUGUAAACUGGUAAAAGGACAGACAAGUAAGUCAAGACAACUCAUACAGCAGAAUCAAUGUGCAGCUACUUAACAUGAGACACCAGUUCUAAAACAAACUUAACACUCACUGUACACAAAGACAUAGAAACAUGGUAACUAGUCCACUGCAAUCUCAUUAUCUAAGUAGGUAUGUGGCUUCUUCGAAAACUUCAAAUCAUCAGCACAGAAAUAUAUUUUUCCCUGGAAACAGUACAGGAUUUUUCUUACAAGAAAACAGGAACAUGCCAGAAUUCAUUUCUUAGAAUAAUUUACAAUAAAAAGGAGCAUGCCACACGGCACAUGAGACCAUCUUUGUGCAGAAUCGUCACGAAUGCACUUGGCACCAGCACAAUUCCAGCAAGGCGGCUGACGGCACAUGGAAUGGGAGGCCAUGUUUAAGAAAGGUGGUAGAACAAUGGCCAGCAGGUUAACUGGGACCUAGUGGGUGAAAAUACUACUACUUGUGCGCAGGGACACAAAAAAACUAUAAAGGGACAUAUAAAUGAAAGGAAGAUGAGGGCUUUUGUAAAAUUGUUGUAUCACAUCCUCUUGAGCCACUGUAGUGUCCAUAUCAGUGUGAAAUAAAUGAAUUGGUGCAUUGCUAACCUAAAAUGAACCACUUAGAAAGUUUAGUGAUGGGGUAGGGACAUGUAAACCAAAGGAAGUUGGAGGGUUUUUGUAAAAUUGUUGCAUCACGUCCAGUGCAUUGGUAAUCUCAGAUGAAUCGCUUAGAAACCUAUUUGUGCAUUCAAUAUAAGUCCAGCGACCUCCAGCACAGUUUACUCUUUAGGCAAUACUAAAAAGUGGUCAAUGAACAGUGAUUCUAACUUAUUGUGGCAUGUCAUUAUUGUCAGAGAAGAGAAGGGAAGCCGGAGUUACUGCUGUGUAUUGUAACUGUAGUAGUAUAUUCUUUACUGAACCCAUUUUGCCCCUCAUGCAUGCAGCAUACCAUAUUUCAGAAUAACUCAUUUCUGAAAGCUGCGAACUGAAUUCAGCACGCUUUCAUGGCAGUGGUGCAUUAAAUGUGUCCAACAAAAAUUAAGUAGCUUUUAUUCAAACUGGAACUAAAUAAAUUAUGCAUCCCCUGAAAAACAAACUUACUGAAAAAGCGGUAGAGAUGCAGACCCAAAAGGAUACCAUCUUCAGCAACCUGGCAGUAAUACAUGCAGUAGAUACCAAAGUUGCCUGCACUAUUCGUAAGCCCAGGUAUAUCAGCGAACUUCACAAUAAGAACAUUGUCAUCACCAACAAUUUUUUGCAGAUGAGUUCUUGUAUUGUCAAUAUAUGGUCCCUGUCCCAAUCAAACAAUAUAAAGUCAUAAACAAUAUUGAUAUUGAAAUUUAUUGCUCAACAUGAAAAUUAGAGUAAGUCAGCUCCAAUGGGUUGUAGAAUUAAAAAGAAAUAGCCAACAAAAAACAACAAAACCUUUUAAUCUCAAGCAAGUUAGGGUAGGCUAGAGAUGAAACCCAACAUUAGCCAGCAACAAAAGAUAUUUUUUUCAAAAAAAAGGAAUGAUAAAAAUCAUUCUACCGACUCAUCUGAUCACAACAAACAAGGAUUAAGCUUUUUUCUCAACAGCGCUGAGCAAGAUGGUACGCAUAAAAGCAAAAGUGAACCUACAAUAGAAUAUCUCAUCACGAUUAUGUUCCAACAUUCAAUCAAUGGACGAGAAAUGAUAUUUAAAGAUGACCCUCCAAUCCCUUUUGCAAUGCACUGAUGACUGUUAAGGAUGAGCCAAAGAGAUGUUAUAUGACAACAACAAUCUAAUGACAGACGAUUCCAUAAAUUUUGAAAAAUCACAUAAGUCAGUACUGUGUACACCAGUCCGCACUUCCGGGCAGAUAUGGAUGCAGUUUUGGUGCAAUGCUCCCCUUUAUGAAAGGCGCAAAAUGUACAGUUCUAGAAAGACAUAUUUGAAGAAAAACAAAUCAAGAAUGAAGUAUGCGAUGCCAAUUUAACCUGCAAAAUAUCAAAUUACUAAAUUCAAGUGUUGUAUCGGCAUUGCAAACCAAAGCAGGACAAGUAGUACAUGAAGUGAGCAGGAAUAGUUCAUGGGGAACUGCUCCUUUCUACAACUGAUUUGACAGUGAAUUUAUGUACCAAGUCUGAAUUUUGGCCUUUCUGGAACAGUCCAUCUAUCUUGCACUUUCACAAAACGGGCUUCUCGCACCCCAUAGGCCCCAAUCAAAUCUCCAAACAGAAGUUCAAACCUUAAAAAUAGGAAACUCGCUAACCUUAAAAAUGGUUACUAUGGAGUCAGUUCUUUUCUCAACAAUGCAGUAGUACAGUCUUGUCUUGCUUGGGUCCCAAUCAACGUUCUGCAGGUAUCAGUCAGCAGACAGUUCCAUGAGAUAGCUUUGCUAGCACUCUCUAUGAAGGUAAAAAUGGGAAAAUAACACGUAUGAUUUGAUUUAUCCAGAUGAAAACCCAGAUUAAUGCUGAUCCUACAUGGAUCUACCAAGAGAGAGGAGAUGCACAAAUAACGCUUACAAGUUACGAGUGGGAACAUCCGUAUUGCAAGAACAUUUAUGAUCACAUUCCAUGAAAUGAAGAAAGUUUUGCUGAUCUCUCUUGUUCCCCUAUAAGACAACCUAAAACCGAUGGGGAUUUUCUAGAAGAAACCAAGAUAACAUUCUCUUAUAAAAUUAUUGGAGAUCUAGUAUGGCAUAACUGUGCCUGUGGUAGUAAUAGUAAUAAUGUCUGGUGCUAUUUUUGUUUCUCAGUAAAUUAAUCAAAUAGAUGAGGACUAUUAUGUACACACGCAACACCAUUUCAUCAACAAACAUGUCAUACACAUGUCUAUAUAGUUCCAGAUGAAAAUAGAUGAAUCUGAUAAUCUGUAAGCAACUACGAAGUUGCUAUUUACGUGUAGCAGUUGCCAUCAUCAGGUAAAAUGAUAGAAAUAAUCUGGUAAUGUAACCAAAGUUUCAGGGUGAUAUAACCUUUCUUCUAUCUGAUGCUGGUAGAGACUCAUGUUCAAAUCUGUUCCAGAUUUCUGACUCGAAGCAAUCCAUGGGCAGAGACUUCAAAUACCUUAUGUAGUUUACAUCCUCUAUCUUCUUGCUACAGGAACAUAAAGAGGUGCAAUGGAUUAGAGGCUAACAAAGACAGCACAAAAAUAGAUCACACAUUUUCAAAAACUAAUAAAAAGUAGAUAGUCUUUUGGUCUAUUGUAUUCCAUUGGACAUAGGGGUUAAUCAAAUAAUCCCUUAUUUACUGACGUUAGUACCAUUACUUGUUCCGAUUAAAAGAACGUAAAAUCAAAUCAAGACUUACUCUGCAAGGUACACAUAAAUGAGGAAAACACGAACAAACUCCAACUCCCCCAGUGCUAUCAUUUGAGGGCUUGGAAAGCUGACACGCUCCCGGGUUGUGGAGCCAGUUCUCGGUGGUGGUGCCUCCGUUGCCAUCAAAGCAUUCCCAGUAGCAAGAGAAGGUGGUGUUGCCACCCCUACCCUCCCUGACGGGCCAUCCAUUGGUCGAACACGCCUUGUAAUAUCCCGAACAGGGCUCAGGGUGUCAUCCCGGGCAGUGCCAUCGGGCAUCUCAUACUCGGGUUAUCCAGCUUCAGUUCUUCGGCGAUUUGCCGCUGGAGAAGCCACUGGUGAGAAAGGAGGCUGAUUCUGCAACCCACCAGGAGAGGUCCAACCGGGCGGGCUGCUUUCAACCUCCAGUCCAUCCGAGUCUGGAACUGGAAUAGUAUAAGAAUAUCUUCUCUGCUCAUUCUGCAGUCUGCAAGGCAUCUUCUGGACAGAGCUCGCAGGCUUGAUUGUUGCCUGGUUUGAAAGACCAAAGGCAAUUCCAGCAUCAGGGCUCUGAACCUCGUUGUCGUACAGUGACCCCAAUAAAUACCGAAUUGUCUGUAUGACAAAAAAAAAAGACUUCACGAUCAGGAAGAAGGCAAGCAGUGUAGGGCGUAAUACAGGGGGAAAAUCACAUGUGCGAAUUAACCGAAAGAUGAUUGGACGGAACAGAAAGCUCAAAGCAUCCCUCGGCGGGAGUCCCCGAGAAUGAGCAACGAAAAGCAGAGUAUCAGCUGACAAACAGAUAAUGCACUUUCCAAUAAUUGAAGGGACAGCAUCAUAAUAUAAUGCAGGCUAUGAAGCUAUCUGAUGAUCAGUAGGAGAGCCCCUAAAUGGAGAAUCACUCCCAAAACGGUGCGAGUGAACGGGCAAAAUCCCCCAGAACUGCAACCAGAAUCCGUCUGAAAAUAGCGCUACUUCACUGCAGAAGAUACACCGCAACUGAAAGCGAAAGGGACGACCUCGAAGCGAACCAAAAAAAAAAAAAAAAAAGCGUUGCCGCCACAAAGGGCCGAGAGCGAGCGAGACAGACACGGACCUUGCGAGGCGGCGCUCUCGGCGGUGGGGAUCCCGGCGGCGUUGUGCUCCAUGGCCUCCCUCUCCACCAUGCGCAUGAUGUAGGCGGACAGUGUGAGAACCGCCCAAUUUGAUCUCGAAUUAAGUGAAUUGAUGGUCAGAGUGUUAAACUUGUUUUGCAAUUUGGGUCGUGACAGACAGCCUCCGCACGCCGUGCCGAUUCUCCCAGAUCCUCCGGAGCGCCCGCGACGCCGCGGCCUCGCCGAGCCCCGCGAGCCUGGCGCGCGCCUGCGGGUCCGCGGCCUGCCCCACCUCCGCCUCGAGCCGCGCGAGCUCCGCGGACACCGCCGCCGGGAGGACCGGCGGCCCCAGCGCCCGCGGCGGCGUCGGCUGGUCGUCGUAGCACGGCGAGGGCUGCUGCAUUGCAGGUGCAGCCGGUCUCCGGGUGGGCGUAGAGUCUAGGGUUUAGAGCAUGCGCCCUCCGCCGGCGGUGGCGAGAGGGAAGAGUGGGCUGUGUCGCGGCGAGAGGGGAGGGAGCGAGUUUGGCUUUCACCACCAACUCCCAAUUUUAGCAGUAUAAAAAAGAAGAUUCCUCAUCACAUCAAACUUGCGGUAUCUUAGUACUAAAUAUAGAUGAAAUUAAAAACUAAUUGUACAGUUUUGUUGUACUUUGCGAGACAAAUCUUUUAAGCCUAAUUAGUCAAUGUUUAGAUAAUAAUUCACAUAUACAAAUGAAAUGCCACAGUGUGCUACAGCACUGUAACACUAAUUUGUCACUUCCAAAUUUUGGCAACUAAACAAGAUCUUGCUUGGAAAGCCUCCGGCUGUGAGUGGGGAAGCGAGGAGCGGCGCUCUCCGGUUGCGAUCAAAUACGAACGCGAGAGUACAAGUGUGCGCGGGGCCCGCGUGGCAGUGGGAGCCGGAGAUGAGAUGAGAUGAGACGAGCCGUUGGGUGGGUACUUAAGGACCGUUGGACGGGUGGGGGGAGCCGCCUGCCGCGCUCCAGUGCUACAGGACGCGUGGCGCGGUUUGGGAAGGCUUUGGAAUGCGCGGCGGCGGGGCCUGGGUAACGACAGAGGAUAAUUCAGACUCGCUACUGCUCCAGUGCUCAGGUUCCUUCCUGCGUCAUCGUCAUCGAUCGAGCUCUUCCUCUUCCUAUUGCCCAGUAGCCGUGUAUGUGACACCCUAAUUUUUUUCACCUUUUGCAAUUUAAUAAAAUUAAUUAUAACUUUCUAGAAUUUGUUUGAGUUCGUUUAAGACUUUAAGGUUUCUAUGUGAAUUUAUUAUGCAUUAUAAUCUUUUCUAAAUUAACUUAAUGAACUUUAAGUUGAAGUGUGUUGUAUUCAUGCUGGUUGCAUUUGUUAAACCUUGAGCGCAAAAUGAUUUUAAAAUAUGUUUAUACGACUGUUAGGUUCUCUGAUAAUUCUUCCAAAUUUUUCUGGAUUAAUUCUUCUUUUUACUAGAGCUAAAUCUAUUUAUUAGAAGGCUCUAUAAUCCUUUUCACAAGCUCCAAGAGUAUUUUUCGUGACUUAAUUGAUUUAUCUAAAUUUUUCUAGAUUUAUCUUUACACGAGAAAUAUUUCUAAAAAAGAGAAUUUCUCUGUCCUAUCAGGAACCUCCGCGUGCGCGCCACGCGGGCGCGGGUCCACGCGCCUAUAAAAAGGCGCCGCCCGAGAUCCUGCUGCACCGCACGCCGCCGCCGCCGCCGUCCUCGCCUGGCCACGCCGCGCCCCCGCUUGCGCGCCCGUCGCCAUCAGCGCCGCCGGCCGCGCCUUUGCCCCUAGCCCCGUGCGUCUGCCGCCUGCGCGCCGCCACCGCCUGGAGCCCCGCGUAACCGAGCCGAGGACGCCCCGCCGGUCCCCGCCGCCGCCGCCGCCGCGUGGAGCCCGAGCCGGCUGCACCAUCCGCCGUCGAAUUUCCGGCCGGAAUCCAUCCGCCCCGCCGCCAGUGAGCCACCCCCAAGAGCCCCUCGACCACCUUCCCAUUCUGCGCCACCCCGCCGUGGUCCUAGACUGCCGGAGCCCCAUCUGCCUUGGUCAAAGCUCUCCGAGCUUUUGCAAAAUAAACCCUCAGCGUUUUGCAGUUAGGGCCCCGGACUCAUCUGUAAUAAUUUGUCAAUUCUAUGUGUCUUGGAUGAUUUGCAGAAGAACCUCCUUGAUCUUUUAUACGCCUUCAACCUAGUCCAAACCGAGCCCUUCUCCGGAUCUAACCGUGACCUUGGAUCUAAUUGCGAGCACUGUUUUACGUGCGUUGAAGCUCUUUCUUGAGUUAAUUGCAUCCGAGUCUCUGAAAUCUUGCUUAUCUCGUAACUUCUUCGUUUUAGCUCCGGUUUAAGUGAUUCUCGCGCUCACACAUCCUUGCAACGUGUACGAUAGAUAAACAAGUUGUGUUGUUUUAGCAAAUGUAUUUGUUUGCUUUGUUUAGUUGCUUUGGAAUUUGGAUGAUCAUGUAACAGUAGAAGAAGCGCAGUUCGAGAAGCGUGGUUCGAGGAAUUUCAAGAAGGGGUGUUUGAUCCUAAGCUAAAGUUUAGUUCGCGUCACAUCGAAUAUUCGGAGGCUAAUUAGGAGGACUAAAUAUGAGUUUAUUAUAAAACUAAUUACACAGAUGGAGGCUAAACGACGAGAUGAAUCUAUUAAGCCUAAUUAAUCCAUCAUUAGCAAAUGGUUACUGUAGCAACACAUUGUCAAAUCAUGGAUUAAUUAGUCUUAAUAGAUUCGUCUCGCCGUUUAGCCUCCAUCUGUGCAAUGGGUUUUGUAAAUAGUCUAUGUUUAAUACUCCUAAUUAGUAUCUAAACAUUCGAUGUGACAGGGGUUAAAGUUUAGCCUGGGGAUCCAAACACCCCCGAAGACUUCAAAGACUCUGAAUAGUAUUAGGACUUUAAGGAAGUCAAGAUGUGUCCUUGAUCAUAUUUUAUCCUAUACACCAUUUAUAUGUGAUGAUGAAAUAUAUGAUAUGCACGUUUGAGUCUUAAUUUGAUGGUCCUAAGGAUUUAUCUAGGUUCCAAUAUUAUUCCUUGUAAACCUGGGUUUACCUUAUUGUUGGGUAGCCAUGCUAGUUGCUAUACUUGUUUAUGGUGGGAACUAAUGAACAAUGAUGAAUCUGAUUUAUCUCACAUGCUUUAACUGGAACAUGGGAUGACCACCCAGGAAAACAGUACAACCAUAAGACGAACAGGAUCUGAUCUUGACUAAUUAAUUAGAGACUCUAGUUUCUGGUGGUCUUACUGAAAGGGCAAGAGGGGGCCUUGUGAUGGGGUAUAGCUCGGCUCCUUUGAGUGGUAUUCUCUUUGUUGAUACUCACCUUAGGGGAAGGUUACACACACAACUGUCGAAACCUUAGUGAACCACUACCUACUACAGAAUAUUUGUAAAGGCCUCGUAGCGUCCUUGUACAGUCACAUCUCGGGAGUGUGAUAAGUGUCUAGUUUUGUACAGCAUAGUUGGGUCUAAAGUUCUUCUAAACUUUUACGCGACUUAUGGUGAAAGUGUACAACCUCUGCAGAGUGUAAAACUGAUAUAUCAGCCGUGCUCAGGAUCAAGAGCGUCAUGAACCCUCGCAUGAUAAUUGAACUUGAAGAACAAUAAACAUGUAUUUUAUUUCUGUUCAUGAUAUAUCCUUGCUCUCAUGCUUAAUUGGGUGGUAUAAACUUACAUUUUAGUAAAUAGUUUGAUAAUAAAAUUUGACCAACUUUAAAAUGCUUAAAUGCAGUAAACCUAUUUCUUGACCUAGCCUUACACUACAUAUUUUCUAAUUGUACUUAUGCUUGCUAUAUCUGUUGUUCAGUACAAAACAACUCUGUUGGAGACUUUGAAAAAUUGCUAGGUGUACGUUUUCCCCCGAUCAACUGCAUGUGGAGUUAUUAGAGAUCCACUGCUUAUAUUGAAGAUUUUUAUCUCAGCUUCUGAUUAUGUAAUCUAUGUAACUCUCUCUUUACAUUUUAACACCGUAUUUGAUAUUUACUGAAGUCAUCGUACACAUGAAACUUGAUCAUGAUACACAUAUGGUAGUCAUCUUCUUUUGAUUUUCAAACUGGGUGUGACACGCUACCGGGCCUGAUAACGGCACAGAGGCUUUGUUUUCUUUUCUUUUUCUUUUUGCAUAAUUCUGUAGUUAACUGUUGGCAUUUUCGUACUAGCUAGGAGUAAUCAUGGCAUUUUCUUGCACGGAGUAGUUCAUUCCACUCUCGAUGGAUGCUGCAGGCUGCAGCCAGUGUACAAAGAUCCCAUUGUUGGUCCAGCGCCAUUGCAGUGGUAAGUGGGGAUCAUAAAGCUGUUUGGAUGCGGGGUACUAAACUUUAGAAGGGGUCACAUCGGAUGUUCGGACGCUAAUUAAGAGGAUUAAACGUGAGCUAAUUAUAAAACUAACUGCAGAACCCCUAUACUAAUUCGCGAGACGAAUCUAUUAAGCCUAAUUAAUCCAUCAUUAGCAAAUGAUUACUGUAGCACCACAUUGUCAAAUCAUGGACUAAUUAGGCUUAAUAGAUUCAUCUCGCGAAUUAGACUCCAUCUAUAUAAUUAGUUUUAUAAUUAAAUUAUAUUUAAUACUUCUAAUUAGUAUUAAAUAUCCGAUGUUACGAACAGGCCCAUAGCAGCGUUUGGUGGCGCUGCGCGGGCCGCGGGCGCAGCGGAGGCGGAGGCGGAGGCGGAGGCGUGGAGCCUAGUGAUGGACCGGCAGGACUCGCCUUGAUCAAAGCGGAGAGGAGAGCCCCGGUUACGGGUCCAGGUUGAGCACGAGACCCAACGUCCCGUGUGCUCCGUAAAAGAAAGGAUCGGACUCGACUCGUCUCGUCGACGUCAAACUCAAUACGGGCGACAAGCCUCACCUGCAUGCCUCUGGUUCAGGCGGCAUGGGCAUGGCCGCGCGGGAGAUUCCGAGGCAAAGUUUGCAUUUUGUUAUAAAUGCGCAAAUGUAACAUUUCAUUUGUAUUUGUGAAUUAUUAUUCUCAAAAGAUUCAUCUCGUAAAGUACAAUAAAACUGUGCAAUUAGUUUUUGAUUUCGUCUACAUUUAGUACUCCAUGCAUGUACCGCAAAUUUGAUGUGAUGGGAAAUUUUUUUUUUCAUAGUACCAAAGUUAGAAAAAAAAAACUAAACAAGGCCUGAUUCCCCUCUGCUGCUCACCCUCUGCUGCUCUAGACUCAUGCGUCAACUCAAAAGUAAGCUCAGCCAAGCUGUGCGUACGUCCCUUUGGAAAACACGAGGUCAGGUCAGUGAUUCGAGUUUCCACUCGCACAGCCAUAACUGCAUGCGUGGCCACCGAUCCAUAACUUGAAGGAAAAUCUGAUGCUUUGAAUGAACGCAACCCCGACUGGGCACGGCGUUUGGUUACUUUUGCUUAUUUUUAGCAUGUGUCAUAUCGAAUAUUUAGAUACUAAUUAGGAGUAUUAAACGUAGAUUAUUUACAAAACCCAUUACAUAAGUGGAGGUUAAACGGCGAGACGAAUCUAUUAAGUCUAAUUAAGCCAUCAUUAGCAAAUAUUUACUGUAGCAACAUAUUGUCAAAUUAUGGACUAAUUAGGCUUAAUAGAUUCGUCUCGCCGUUUAGCCUCCACUUAUGUAAUGGGUUUUGUAAAUAAUCUACGUUUAAUACUUCUAAUUAGUAUCUAAAUAUUCGAUGUGACGGGUGCUAAAAAUAAGCAGGGGAACCAAACCAGGCCAAAUACUACUGAUCUUCCAUAGCAUAUGGUACAAAGGUUGAGGCCUCCUUUGGAUUGGAGGAACUUUGGAGGAAAAAUGAAGGAUUCCAUGCCUUUGGAACGGAGGAUUGGAGCAUAGGAAAAUUGAAGGAAAGUUUCCUAUGCUGCUCAUUUCUUCAUAGGAAAACCACAAGAAGAAAGAGCUCUUUUCCGGUAGCAUCCAGUCAGACCUCUUUUUUUCUUUUCCCUUUGCAUGGGAUCGAGGCAAAUGAGCUUAGCUGUUGCUAAUGCAAGUCCCUGAGCACCCAUUAAGGUUUCCAUUCUGUUAGUUUAGCUAAUGCUAUUGGGGAUUAUACACUUCAUAAGAUUUCCAUUCCUGUGAAUUUCCUAUGCCAUUCCAAACACCUACCUUAGGAAAAAUUCCUAUAUUUUCUAAUCCUAUGUUUUGUAGUUGCAUUCCUAUAGAAUUCUUAAGUUUUUCCUAUUCCUAUGUUUUUGCAAUCCUAUGUUCCAAAGGGGGCAUGAGGUUCUUGGACCAUUAUAUUUGUCCUGUAAACAGAUUUAUCAGCAGAUUGGCUCAAGCUCGCGCGGUGCACCGUCGUCGCCGAGUUACUGCUCUUGAACCUUGGACCAUUGCCUGUAAAGAAUUUCGAGAAAUUUCAAGUGGCCUGAACAUUUCUGUUCUAAAUGUUCAUCGCAGGGAAUCCAAGAGUCGCACCUGAGGAUACCAGGACGUGCUUGCUGGCCAGGAUAAUGGCUGCCAACAUGUACUGAAUUUCUGAUCAGCCCAGCUGGGGCAUAAGCACUGCAGUGCAGCCCUGACCGUGCAUCUGUGUUCAGGGCAAGGAUGAAGCAUGUCACACUGUAACAGUGAACCAGCGAAAACUCUGUUCUUUAAGCCUCCUCUGCUGCAGAAUUUUGGAAGCAGAUUUCUUGGCGAGAACCUUACCAGAUCGUGCUCGGCAGAUCUUGUUGAACGGAGUUUCUAACAUCCCCGAAGACAAAACUUGCGUCCAUGUCAAGCAGGUUUGUAAAUCCCAGCACAAUCUAGAGUUCUAGACUAGCUGAUAGUAAAAUGUUGUCAACAGUUCAUUUUUGAGAUCUAUAAAUGUGAUGAGGAAUUUAUGUCUUACCGAGUUGGCGAUGCUUCUUGCUGCAGUUCUUAAUGGGAGCAUCAUGAGCUGUGCUAUAUAUGAAGCAAUGAAUUAAUGCUCGGCAGGCUCAUACAUACAUGGAGGGGUGAGCGUCCUCAUUGCUCACAUCCAACCAUUGUCUUCUCAUCGUUCGCCUAGUCUAGUUGCAAAGGCAUACACAUUAUGAAGGGCAACAAGAUGAUGAUCAUGUUCUUGUCCGCCUUGGUUACUGGAUCCUUAGUAUUCCCUGUGUACUGUAAGUAUCUGUGUGAUUGUAUUGUUGUUGCUAUUAUCCUAAGGAUUGCAGUAGUUUAAUAGAAAAAACUGCAGGUCGCCAUCAGCUACUACAGGAUGCCACCAUGAGUUCCAUCACUACUUCUGCCAACGCCACACCAUCAUCAUAUGAGAGAAAGGUUAAAGGUGACCUUUUGCAUCAGCACGUGGUGUGGGUUCUUCGAUAGGAUAAAAGGCACCGCUUGCUACUGUUGUCCGGAUCAAUCUCGGAAAGAGAAUUGCCACCUGACGAUGCAAGAGUGCCGGUCCAACUGCGCCUCUUGAAAUCCUAAAUGCUCACCGCCAUCUCUUUAAUCGUGAUGCACAGUCGACCGUGGGUGAAAUAGUGAAAAACCUAUGUGUAACUAUGCGAUCAAAAAAAUCUAUCCGGAGGCAAAAGUAAUAUUGUUUUUUUUAUAAGAUACAAAAGUUGAAGAAAGAACUGUCAUUGUUGCAGUCUGAAGGAGGGAGUCAAAGUGAUGCAGUGCAGUGGUGGUAUUUGCUCUUAAAAAAAGCGCAUGCCUCCUCUUGCUCCGCUCGGCAACUGCUUCACAUCGGUUCACCACGGAAUAUAUAUACACAUAAGUAAAGUAAAAGAAAAAUAUACACAUGCAGUUCACAAAUAUCCGGCCCAUCGGCCCACGCACACCUUACAUGGCCACUGGCCCAUCAUAUAUCUGUUCAUGACACAAGCGAGCCGUUCGACUUCGGCACCGUCGAUUAUUAAAAUAAAAAUAAAAAGUGGUGAUCAAAGUGGAGCACCGGGUACGGGUCCAGGUUGUCAGUGAACUAGAGCAUGAGGUCCAAUCUGCGUGCUCUGUAAAAGAAAGGAUCGUACUAGCCUCGUCUCGUCGACGUCAAACGCAAUACGGGCGAGAAGCCUGCAUCUUCAGACGGCAUGUGCAUGGGGGAUUCCGAUUCCCCUGAGGGCUUCGAGUUUCCACUCGUACAAGCCAUAACAUAAGCCCAUGGCCCCAUAACUGCGUGACCACCGAUCCAUCCCAGCCUUCUCUACUAACCAACUCCAAGGAAAUCUGAUGUUUUGAACGAAACCGGCUGGCACUCUACAAAUGAAACAGCACGUCUGGGACUUGGGAGCCAAACAAACCUUGUAAAGCUUCAACUUACUGUACAUGGCAACGGUUCAGCUGGUACGCUUCUACAUUCUUUACAGCAUACUCUAAAUGCUUUGGAUAAUUUAUACACAACCGACAGAGAAAAAAACAAAAACAGACCACACUGUUCUUUGCUGCAUGCUAGCCAAACACAACCGGCUUUGCUCUCUCUCUCUCUCUCUCUCUCUCUCUCUCUCUCUCUCUCUCUCUCAUAUAAGUUACCUUUUGUUAGUUGCGGGUAAGUAGGUUAGCAAAGUUUUGAGCUUCAAAAUCCUCCACCUCUUAUCAUAACACCACCUGUGGUUGACAUUAGUAGAUCAUACUCGAGAGAACGGGCUUCACGAUACUGAUCUUCCAUAGCAAAUGGAAGCAAGGUAGAGGUUCUUCGACCAUUUGUCCUGUAAACAGAUUGAUCAGCAGGUGGAAACAAAUAAAAAAGAACUAUCUGGAGCUCACAAAUUUAAAAAAAGAGAGGAAGGUGAAGCCACCUUGACAUGCUGGCUGGGGAAAGCAGAUGUUCUCAAUGUCUCCUGUGUUUCAUCAGUAGGCUUUCUCCUAGGGACGCUCAAGAUAAAGGCUGCCUGGUCCCACGUGGCAGCCGUUGCCGUGAUGCGAUAACCAUUGUCCCAACGCAUGUGGAUGCCCUCACUUGGAUAUAAGAAGUCAAGCUCCACUACCUACAAAAGAAACACCACUGCUCAGGUCAGGAAUGGAUCCUCCGUAAUUCUAUACUUAAAUGUUAAAUUCUUUCCAGAUUUACUUCAUCAACCAAGAAUACAUCUGAGUUUAUCAGUUUGAUUCCAUUUAGGGUUUGUUGACACUGUAAACCAAAGACACGCUAGCACAUACCUGAGCACUGAAACCAGCAUUGCGGGACAUGACAACUGCCCAUCGGCUCCCAGCUGUCGCCAUAGCAGUAACAUAAAAGCCCUCCUUCCAUUUUUUGUUUAUCCAUUUGAAGGGAAAUGAAUCACUUACUUUGUAGGACUGCUGCGCAUAUUGCGUCCCUGGAAAACCACACUGAGUCAUUUCUUGUUCAUUUAUACCAACAGCAAAAACAAAUAUUCCGAUAUCAAAGCAUUUCCACUUCACAUAGCAUCCAAACAAAAAGGCACUAAAGUCUAUAACCCCCGCCCAUAUUCCUAGUCUCCUAGGUAUAGCUUAUUUAUUAGGUCAAAAAAGAUAUAGCUUAUUGUGUUAGAAGCUUAAACACAUCUCCAUCAUGAUUCAUGAGGGAGUAACGAGUAUGGCUCCUACAGUAGAUGCUAAAGGAGUUUCUUUUUAGUUUAGUAGGUGCUAAAGUUGAGGGGGAAACAUGUCAUGUCAUAUUUGUCUGGGUGAUUUCUGAGAUGAACCUUGUCACUAGAUCAUGCAGUGAUGAUCCAGUGUCCAGUGUCACUAGAUCAUAUUUGUCUGGGUGAUUUCUGCAGUCCAGGCAUCAAGCUGAAACAUUAAGAAUAAUUACCUCUUGACAUGAUCACCAGAGAGCUGCCAUUAUUCGCACCGGCCAGUGCGGUGAUAUAGAAAUUUCUCUCCCACUGCUCCAUUAUCCAUUCCUAACAUAACGCAGGCAAGUUAAAGGUCUGACAGCAUAAAACAACACCAUGCAAAUGACAAUUGAGAUAUCACUGAGGAUGUCUAAUCAGUGACGUGUUGACACCCAACCAUAAACAGAUAAUAGUAAUAGUAAAUCCAGGAAAGAAACAGAAUUGAUACUGCUUACCUUGUGAAGAAAGUGAUGAGAGAGUUCGUAUACUUGAGAUGUAAAACCGGUUCCAGCAUCCAUAAUUAAAGCCCACAGAUUUGAGCAUGAGGCAACUGAACUGAUAAACAAGCCAUCUUCAUUUCCCUUUUGAAUAUGCUGUAGUAAUCUAUUAUCAGCUACAUUGUAGUGGUACCUGAAACAAAUGUGGGUAAGAAAAUAGAAAAAAUCUCUUUACUGCUAUUUGGCAGAUAGAUGCAUCCAGCAGACCUCUGUUUCAUAGGUCGACGGGCAUUGUACACACUAAUCCACUGAGUUGCAGGCAUCCCCAUUCUGAUCUUUUUCUUGGGUUGCUCAUCAUCAUUUUCAUCCACUAUUAAGCGGCCUCUCUUCUGGCCAACCUGAUAUAUUAGCUGGAAAUCCGAUUGAGCAUUAGUUAUUAAGAAGAUAACUUUUUUAUUGCAUGAAUGCAAAAGGAGGUGAUGUAUAACCUGCAAUCGAGAAUUGAAAAUGGGGGUCAACUAUUGUACUUUUGCCAAUUCACUAUCUUUUCCGCUGCAUAUCAUGUUACGCAUUGAAAUCUCAUUGCCCUUUUUAUUACUCUAAAAGACAAGUGUCUUCGUAUGGCCUAUGAUAGCAUAAUACUAUAUUUCUAUUCUCAUGUAAGCCAUAGACAAUAUUUUGAGUUUCUCAGAAUGAACAAGGGAAAUUUGAGUUGAUGCGUAUUGUAUAACAGAUUUAGCCUACCCCAACUUGCUUGCAACUGAAAGGCUUUGAUGUUGUUGUUGCUGCUGUGUAUUGUAUAACAGAUUCCCGCAAAGUUUAAAUCACAGGGUUACCCCUAUGUAGUAAACAAAUAUAGGAUUCUAGCAGCAUUGUGAUUGCUAUUUGCUAACAUAGACAAUGGCUCCAGAGCCAAUGGAACCAUAAAUUACUUGGGGUAAGACAUAGGACAAGGAUGCAAGUCCUUUGAGCUAAUAAAAAUAAAGAGUUCACAUAGGAAUAAUGUACCUUCUGAGCACCAUCUGUGUUUAUUGGUCUUAUGUCUGGAUUUGGGCCAACAAUGCCAUCAAAAAGAGAUAUGCACUUCGCAUAGUUUGGUUCUUCAUCAAAUUUCAAGUUCACGACAUACUCAACAAAAUGCCGGAAAGGUUGUGGGCAAAUUCCACACAAAGACUCUGGAGGUGUUGACAUCUUUUUCUUGCAGACAAGAAAACCUUUGUUCUCUCCCUAAAUUGAUUGAACAAUGGAAUGAGAAAUAACAAUUUAAGACUGAAAAUAAAUAAAUAAAUAAUGUGAGUAAGAAUAAAAGUGACCUGAACAUCAACUAACCUGGUAUCCUUGCCAAGGGAGGCGACCACGGAGAAGAAAAAUAAGUGUGUAUGCGAGGGAUUCAAGGUCAUCUCUCCUGCUCCCAGUUCUUCCCAAGUGAGCAUGCACACUAGCGUAGCGAACAGUACCCCUGUUUAUGAAGGAAAAAACAAAUGACAAAAGCAUUCCAAUGAAGUAAUGUGCGUGGUAAAGGACAGCAUACAAAUAUUCCCAACCGAACCUAAAAAUAUCAGGUCUCUGAUCAUAGUCAACAUGGCUCCCCGUACCAGCAUCCUUCCAUUUAGUUGCUGCACAAGUACAAAAUAAUAUUUUAUGAAGAAACAACAUAAAUGUCUGGCAUCAAAUAGACAUGAUACAAGACAAGAGUUGAAUCUGGUUACAACUUACCCAAUCCAAGGUCAACAAGAAAAAGCUUCUUCUCAUCUGGGGUACCAGGAGGACCAAGCAAGAAGUUCUCAGGUUUCACAUCACCAUGGACAUACCUGCAUAUACACAUCUUAUGAAAUACAGUUUCAAAACAACUAUACAAGACCCAUGGUUCUAUCUCAACAACAGUAAACAAAUUACCCUUUAGAGUGCAUCUUCUCCAGUAUGGAGAUUGCCUCUAUGCCUAUGCAAGCAACCAUCUCAACAGACAUCCUGUAAAAUACAAGAUUGGAAAUGAUGGAAAGGGUUAAAUAUGAACAGUAAAGAUUAAUUAUAAUGAUGUACAGAUACCCACGAGUGGGAAUUAUUAUUCCAAACAUCCCAUAGGCUUGGCCCCAGCAUGUCCAUAACCUGCAUGCAGACCGAAUACGAUUAAUAAGAACAAAAUUUUGUCGAUAUUAUUAAGGAAAGAGGUACAAAAUAAGACUCCAAAGAGCUAGGAAAACACACGAGAAACCAAACUAAAAAAAACUCAUGCAUAUAAUAUCUAUGCGUGCAAGUGAAACAAAUAUAUGAAGUUCAUUGUCCAAUACCAUGAUGUAAAACUCAGCCUGUUUUCCUUUGUAGUGUACCCGUGGAACACCAUGGUUUCCACUAAGAGUGCUGCCAAAGAGAGGUUUCAAAUAAGCAGGAGUGGUUAAAUGCAACCCAAGAAAUAACUAACACCAAAAAGAAUUACAUAGAAAGAAAAAAAAAUAAAAGACAACUAGUCAUGAUUCACAAAUCAGUACGUACUUGUAAACUUGCCACUCAUAAGGAGCUCCAUAGUUGCAACCUUUGCUGGUUUGAUGUUCAAAUUUCAGCGCAACCUGACAGAUAUAGAGGUAUGAAAAUUGAUGUGACUAAACCUUUUCAGUUCCAACACUAUGAAGCAUUUAUGGAGAUAUAGUGACCUCUAAAGCAUUUGAACCAGGGUUCCGGUCACUGAGACGAGGGGCAGAAAUACGUCGACCGACAUAUACUUGUCCGAAUCCACCCUUUCCAAGUUUCCUUUCAAGCUUAUAGGUUGGCGAAUUUCCAAUUUGUACCUGUUCCAAGCAAGCGUGUGAGCAUCCGAAAUAAAUAUGCAGACAGCAGAACAGAUCAUGCAACCACAAACACAAGCAAGCCUGUAACUUAAUUCUGUACCCCCAGAUUUAAAAGUCAGGUAAUCUUAUAAUAGCAUAAUGCAAAAUACAAUGAAGAUGUACAAUUAAUUGAGCAUAUAUUAGAUAGAUCGUAGGAAUCAAUGCCCAAUGGCAUGUUAAGAAAUACAUUGAUAUUGUAUAAAACUAUACAUGCUGCUAGCACCAGCAUGCAUGGUAAUCAAGAAUGUUCAUUUCAUUAAUCUAAUUUUACAUACUACAGAUAUGGGUGAGAAUACCGAGCCAUAGCUUCAACACCUAUACAGGAUCAGUACAUUUGACAGUAUGUCCAUUCAACCAUGUUUUUAUGCAUGGACGAGGUCUUGAAACUACGAAUAAGAAAGAGCAUUUAUUGUUAGGACGUUACUACCACCUGAUGUCUACUAGUUAUUAGCCAUUUCGCCAAUCAUCUCCUUUAAAGUCAUGACCAAUGAUAAACUCCAUACAUAAUCCAUAUAUGUCUACAGAAAGCAACAAGCCGACAAUAUGAAAAUAGUGACACUUUGGGACAAUAAUGAAGCAGAAAUAGCCUCACUCAAAACAAACUAAAAGCACCAAGAAACGACAAAAAAAAUCCAUGCAUCAUACAUAUUCGUUUCCAAAAUAGCAAAUCCAUUAUCCGUGUGAGCAAAGAUCCCCUGCAACUUGUCAAACGCCAAAUAUGACAACAAGUCCCCCGUGACACUAGCAAAUAUAUGUCGCACUAAACCCAGCAGCUCCAAUCCCAGCUCUCAUUGUACACCAUACCUCACCAGCCAGAUCUGUAGUGUAGUUCAGAACUUGAAUCCUACCCUAGGUUUAGAUUUGUUCUACUAAUAUAGGAAUAAAAAGUUCAUAUCAAUUGGAGAGAUCUUAAAUACAUUUGUUGUCUUUGCAACGAUGUGUGCUUCUAAGUUCUAACCUAGAUUCUCAUAUUAGAUGGCUUUCUCCCUAAUUUUGCUGUAACAAUAACCACUAGCAAACUCAGUGUGCCACAAGCAUAACAUCCCACCGUCCUUGGGUUGACAAUCGAACAGAAACACGGCUGCAACCCACAAUCGGCAGCCUUUAGUCGAGCAACAGAGCACUAAGGGACACCGAAUUUCCAUAAUAAGCAUCUAGAUUACGCAGGGAGAGCCAUGAAGAUAUUUCGAGCUUACCGUCAGGGGCAGCGGCGGGGCGCCCCCGUCGUCGCCCGCGCCGGCGCCUGCCUUAUCCCCGCUCCGGCCGCCGCUGUCGAAGUCGUCCAUCCCUUCGCCUCCCUCUUCCUCCUCCUGCUGCUACUCUUCGCCCUGCUGCUGCUGCUGCGGCGGCGGCUGCGGCUGCUGCUGCUGCUGCUGCUACAGCACCAGAGACCUCGCGGCUCGUGGCUCGGCGACCGGUUCCGCUGGUGCUGCCCUCCACGGCCUUGGCGCGCGCAACAGCGGGGCGCUUGCAUCCGUCACGGGCUCAGCCCCAUGGCCCCGCGUCCGGAGGGGAGAUCGGGCGGGGAGGCGAGCGGAUACCGGCUGAGACGCGGUUGCACUGGCUUAGGGUUUGGGCUCCGGCGGCGGAUGAGCUGGUCGGCGAAGGCGGGGGCGGUGGUCGGGGAUGGGGAGAGCAGGGAAACGGGCGGCGCACGGCAGACGGCUCGGCAGCACGGGAAUGGGAAAAAAAAGUUUGUAGAGUUGCAUACGAUUACGAACUAUUCCACGCGCCGUUCGUGCUUGUGUAGACUCCGCCUCCCCGAAGAGCUUACGUAAAGAUGGAAAGUUCGCGUCUUUGGGUGAGCCGGGUCUGGUUGGGCCUCAGUCCAUGUCGCAUAAUGGGCCUUCGGCGAGCCCGAUUGGCCGACCAAACAAACAAAGAGAGCCCGCGAAGGAAAGCGAAAAAUGUUAUAUCUAAUCAUCUUUAGUAAAAAGAAAUGUUACUACCUCCGUCCGCUAUUUACAUAAAGUUGGUUAGUUCAUUUUCUAGCUAGUCAACAUCUUAUAUUAAAAAGGAUGGUGGAAGUAAAUUUCUGAUGGAAAUUACUAACCAAAGUGUGGUCUUACAUUUAUGACCGGAGGCAGCAUAACGUACGGGGAAUUUUAAAACUUCUACGCAUAUUCUCUUCAAUGAGUCCACCACUAGCAACAAUUACAGUGUACAGUUAUCAAGACUACAAAUUUAAUAAUUAUACUAGCUGAACUUACAUUUUAUGAAACUACACCUUCUCUAUUUUCAUAAUGAUAUUAUUAAUUAGCAAAAUUUUGAUGUGUCGUACAAUUUAAUAAUCAUGAAACUUAAUUGAAAUCUUCCAUUAAGACUAGCCUAGCCUAACCGUCAGAUUAAAAAUGCACGGGCGCACGACAUAUGUUUUCCAUUAACAUUCUUUUUUACCCUUAAAGGUCUCUAGAAUGUGGCUUUAAUCAAAUAUUCGAUUCGGACAACUUCCAUUGGAGAGAAGCCAUGAGAAUCCCCCACCCUCCUCCGCCACCCCGCCGCCCGUCGCCGGUGGCGGUGGCCCCCACCCACCUCCGCAGGUCCCCUCCCGAAAAGCAAGCCUACCAGUCGUUACGCCCCCCAUCCCCGACCACCCCGCGUACGAGAAGCGCCUGGGAGAAGUUCUUCAGCAUCUCCCCACCGCCACCUCCCCGGGGAGGUCGGCCGCCACUGCUCGACGAAGAUUAGGUACCGGAAUCGCCAGAUCAGCAGGUCAAUUCGCCAGAUCUAUGGUUCCAUCACAGGAUCCGUGGCCUGCUAGCCCGAAGCCCCCUCUUGCCAAGCGGGACGCUGCACUAUCCUAUGCAGAGGUCGUCAGAUGCGGAGGAUUCAUUUCCCCCACCGACCCAACCUCCCUACAAAGCUGUGAAGACAGACGCGC
rnacentral:lncRNA from 1 species